rnacentral:lncRNA from 1 species
CUGCUGAGAAUACCUUUAAUGAGGAAGAUGUUUCAUCUGUUUUAGUAGAAGCAGGAGUUUGGUUUGAAGAGCAGACUAUUGUUGAAGUUCUUGGUUUUGUGGUAAACUGAGAACUAAACUUAGAUGAUGUUGAAAUGGGUUUUGAAAGGUUUGCAGGAAUUGUGAGAGACAUGGUGUUUUCUCCUCUCUCUUUUUAUGGUAUUAUUUUCAAGAAAAAAAGAGAGGAAGGAGGAGUGGAUUGGAGUGUGGAGAGUGAAAGGAUGUUUUUUUAGGAUAUUUGGAAGAAAGGAUUGGUAUUGAAGAGAGAGGAUAAAGGAGUUGAAGGGGAGCUUAGGUGGAGGGAUUUGAUUGGCUAAUUGAGUUGGAUUUUGUGAGAUUGGUGGAUUUUGCUGAAACUUUAUCUAUCUGUGAAAGAGCAAGAACCAGGGAUGUAACAGAUACAGAUACGCCUCCUUCGGAGCCAUAUUAUCCCUUGGAAUAGCUAGUAAGUUGCUGCCCACGUAAUCAGGAGGUCAUAAGUUCAAGUUUUGAAAACAGUUUCUAAUAAAAAUACAAGGUACGACUGCAUACGAUACACCCUUGUGGUGGGGCCCUUCCCUGGAUACCGCGCAUAGUGGUAAUUUUAGUACACUGGACUGUCCUUUAUUGGCAAAAUGGCUAAAUGGAUCCUUGUACUAUGUUCGUUUUGUAAUGUGAACACUUCUACUUACAUGUUUGUCAUCUGAAUCGUUGAAUUAAUUAAAAAGUAAUAUUUUAAGCCCUUUAUCGGUCUACUCCUUUGAACGUGUUGCACAAUCACGAACAUGUCAUCAAAUAUUUGAAAAUAAUUUUCACAUAUGAAAUAACGUGUCCAAGGUAUAAAUAGAAAAGUAAGUCCGAAAAAUUAAGUCAUUUUAGACCCUUCUUCUUCGUCUCUUUCAUCCAAAGUUUAAAAUUUCCCCUAUUUUAACUUAAUUUAGGUAGAUUGUUGUUGGUGGUUGUUGCAAUCCGUGUAAGUAUUUAAUAUUUUGUGGUAACUGUAGUAUUUCGUAGUUUAUUUCAGGCUCUUUUGUCGAUGUAAUGAAGUCCGUUUUAGUAAUUUUAGGAUUUUCGCCAUUAUGAACUUUUUUUUCAAUUUUUUGGGUGGUUUUGCUCUAUUUUAUAUCUAGUGUUGUUGUAGGUAGUAUGUGUAGUGGUGAUAUGCCUUCAAUGACAUAUUUUGAAAUUUUGAUCAAAAUUUAGAGUUUUUUCGUAAAAUGGUAAUUGGGUUCGAAAAUUUUUGAGCUUUUAAUUUUUUUUUUGUUGUCUAAUGCUCCUAUUAUACCUAUAUAUUACAGUUUUGUGCCUUCAAUGGUGUAUUUUAUUAUUUCGAUUACAUUUUAAAUUUUUUUUGGUAAAUUUAAAAUUAGGUUCGAAAAUUUUGGGGCUUGUGAAUUUUUUGUUGUUUAAUGCUCCAAUUAGAUGUGUGUAUAACAGUUUUGUACCUUCAAUAGCAUGUUUUGUUAUUUCGAUUACAUUUUAAAGUUUUUUUUUUUUGAUAAAAUCAGAAUUGGGUUUCUUAUUCCUUUAUUUUUUCUUUAAAAAUUAGGUCUUUAUGGAUAAUUAACUAAUUAUAUAUAUUAUCUUGUCAUUGUACAGAUUUUCUAAGUAAAUGGACACAAUUGUAACAAUUCAAUUCACCUAUAGGGGGGUCUUUUUGUCAGACCCUGAUCUAAGGUAUGCAAAUGAAGUUUGUAUUCUUGAAAAAAUUAGAGUAGAUGUAGAUGAGCUUCAUAUUAUGUUAUUUCAUAACUUAGCAAUAGAUUUAGAUAUGGAAAAAAAUAAAACUUUUUGAUGUAGAGUAAAUAAAAAGGGUUAUUAUUAUAUGUUAGAUAGUGAUGCUGAUGUUUUAAGAUUUAUCAAUAGUUUAAAAGUUGGAGAUUUUGUUAAUAUAUAUGUUGUUCACCAUAUUAGUGAACUUAUAGUUGUUAAUGAAGAUGUGACAGCUACUCCAUCAUUAUUACUACUUAGCAAUAGUAAUGUGGCAGCCCCUUUUAAAACUGAUAAGGUUGUGUGUCUUCAUCUCAUCCGUUGAAUAUAAAUGAAGAUGAGUAUAUAAAUGAAAAUCAGCCUCCUAAGGCAGACAAAGGAAAAGCUAAGGUUUCUUUAGAAGACUUAGGGGAAAGUCAAGUUAAUGAUUUCUCCACAUACCACCUUCAAACAUCUGAUUCUGAAUUAAAUUUUCAGACCACUGAUUCUGAUGUUGAUUCACUUUAUGAUAUUAAUGAAAAUAUUGAAGAGGAGUGAUUUUGACAAAGAGUUGCUUUAAGUUAGGAAGUCUAACAUUGAAAAACAAGCAAAAGAAAAGGCUGAUAGGGUAAAUCUAGAUGAGAUACCAUCUGAACUAGUAGGUAUAAAUGCUGGUUUUGAGGAAAUUUGUAAGAACAAGGGGGUUAGAUAUGAAAGUAAACUGGGUAGGGAUGACCCUUAUUUUGGUAGUUUAAAUUCGAAUAGUAACAUUAGUGAAGAGGAAGGAGAUCAUGUUGAUGAUGAUGAACUGGUAGAUCCACUACCUAGAACUUCAUCUAGCAAGAUCUACUUUGAUGAAACUGCAAAGAAGAUAUAUUUUUAGUUGUACAUGAUUUUUUGAAUGCUGUUGAAUUUAGAGAGGUACUGCAGACUUUAUUCAAAAAAAUGUGAACCUUAAAUUAAAACCUAAUAAAAAGAAAAGAGUAAAGGCAAAGUGUAAGCAUAAGGAUUGUUCUUGGGUUAUUCUUGAAAGUGUUGAUAACACAAAAAAUUUUAGUGUGAAAACAUACUUUCUUAUCCACAAAUGUUCUAAAAAGACAAAAAAUGAGAUGUGAGUGAUUCAUCAAUAAAAUUGCAUCAGAUUCAAACACUUUUAAGAAAGGACUAUGGAUUGUAUGUUAGUAAAACAACCCGUAGAAAAUCAAAAAUUAAAAUUAUGAAUGAAUAUUUUGAUGAUUUUGUUGAAGAGUUUGCUAGGUUGUAUGACUAUGCUGAAUAGUUAGGAUCACCAAUCCUGAUACCACUGUAUCUACUAGAACAUCCAAGAAUUCAAUUCCAAGGUGGUUAUAGGCAUUUAUAUUUGUCUUGGGGCCUUAAAAAGUGGAUGAAAAGAGGGUUCUAGAAGAAUAAUUGAUUUAGAUGGUGCCUUUCUCGAGGGUGUAUAUAAAGGUAUCUUGUUGUCUUGUAUUUUCAAAGAUAAAAAUAAUCACAUGCAUCCUGUAGCAUGGGCAGUGGUUGAUAAAGAAACCAAGGACAUAUGGUCUUGAUUUCUUAGGUACAUCAACCAUAAUUUGAAACUUCGAGAAAAUGGGGGUAAAGGCUUGACAUUAAUAUCUGAUAUGCAGAAGGUAUGAAGUGUCAUAUUUUUUUUAGUUAUUUUUUCAAUUUGCUUAGUGAUGUCAUGAAUGUUUAACUACUGUUUUACAUGUUUUGAUAGGGUCUUCAUUUGGCACUUACUAAGCUACUGUCAAAUGCUGAGCAUAGAUGUGCUAGACAUAUAUGGGCAGACUGAAAGCAGGUUUGGAGAGGUGAAAAAAGAAGGAAAAAAUUCUAGCAGGUUGCAAGGGCUCGAUUUAAAGUGUAUUUACAACAAAAAACUUAAUAAAAUGAGUGAGUUAGAUGUUGAAAUUGUGAAAUACUUGCUCAAAUACAACAAAGAGGCAUGGUGUAGGAUUUUUUUUUAAAGAAUAUAGCAGGUGUGAUGUGGUUGAGAACAACAUGUAUGAAACUUUCAAUAGUUAAAUUUUAGCUGCUAGGUUCAAAACAAUUAUCACUAUGUUGGAGAAAAUAAAAUGCAAAGUCAUGGAAAGAAUGAAUCAAAUGAGAAAUUUUUAGAAAAAUGAAUCAGUGAUGUAUCACCAAUGGAUAUGAAAGUUCUUGUAGAGAAUAAUAUGCAAUCAAGUGUGAGGUAAGGUUUAAUGGUGAUAUAGGCUUUGAGAUUGGUGAUCCACCAUAAACACAUGUUGUUAAUGUGAAGAGGAAGGAAUGUAGUUGUAGGUCAUGGCAACUAAAGAAAAUUCCUUGUGCACAUGCAAUUGUUUCAAUGCAUUACAAGGGAUAGAAUGUGGAGUCAUUUGAUAAGCACUGGUAUCAAUGAAAAACAUACUUGAAGGCAUAUGAUAAGUAUAUUCAACCAAUGACAAAUAUAAAGAUGUAGCUAAGAAGCACAAGACCACUAAUUGAGUCACCUGAGAUUACUGCCAUGCCACGAAGGUCAAGUAAAAAUAGAAAGAAAGCUAAGGAUGAGUCUAUUAAGAAAAAGUUUAGGAAGGCUACAAAAAAAGAAAGAAAAAUGACAUGUUUUGUGUGCAAGUCUAUUGGAGACAACAAGAAAGGAUGUCCAAUUUUGGUAACCUAAAACUUUUCUUAUUGAUGAAUUUUACUCUUUUUGAAUGUGUUUUUGAUCUUUAAAUAUUUUUUUGUAGAAAAAAGAUUUCAGUAGUAGCUGUGGCAGUCAACCAAGUGUGCAAGCUGGUGCUAGUACUGUUGCUGCUGAGAGACCUGCAAAUGCUUCAGCAGCUGAAGACAUGCCUGCAAAUGCUAAACCAAGAAACAGAAGGCCUGCAGGAAGGCCAACAAAUGCUCACCGUGUACCAAGAGCUGCAGAAAGGCCUGCAAAUGUUGCAUCAGUUGGUGGUGUGAGGCCUGCAAGUGCCUUAACAACUGAUAUAAGGCCUGCAACUGUUGUGAUUCCUGCAACCACUUCACCAGUAGAUGAUAAUACUACACAAUCUACAACUCAGUAGUCUACUAGUGGUGUUGGUGUCCAAAAGAGGAGGACUAGUACAACUUUGAGAGGUGGUGCAAAUCUUGCAUAUAAAAGAUCAAGGCAAAACAAAAUUAAUUUUGUUGUGCUGUUUGGACUAAGUGGCAACGUAGUGGAGAGGGUAAAUUUUCUAUCAUGUAAUUUUCAUUUAACUGGUAUUAAUUAGUGUAUCUAUAACUGAUUUUUUUUAUUUUUACAGUUUGAAAAUACUGAUAGAGUGUUACAUAAUCCAACACUUAUUAGUUCAGUUCCAAUCAAUAUUGACUUGGGUUUCAAACCAAAUAGACUGAGGCGGAAAGGUGGAGCUGCAGUAACUCAAAGACAACUACAAGAACAGAGUUACAACAGAUAAAACACAAAAUCAUCUACAACCACUCAAGCCACAUCAAGCACUCAAGCCAGCAAGAAUCAGGCCACAACAAGCACUCAAGGAACACAUUAGUGUAAUUCUCUUUUUGUAUUGAUCCCAAGUGUUGUUAAGAUAAUUUUUUAAGACUUCUGAUGCAUUUCUCAUUAAAGAUGUUGUUAAGACAAGUUUUUUCAUUUCAACUCUUGCUAACACAUUAUAUAUUGAAGAUUUCUAAGUUGGCAAAAUGGUGUUUGUCAUUAAAUUUGAAUUUCAUUUUCAUUGUACAUUGCAACUACAAAAAUUAAGUCAUCUUAAAUAUAAUAGAUAGAAAUCAGAUGACAACAAUAAUAAUAGUGAUAUCAAUGCUAGUGCUUGAUCUUUCAUGUCUUUCAUACCUUUCAUAUCUUUCCAGUCCUUCUUGUCUUCGUUGCCUUCUAUGUCUGCCUUUAUAUUAUUUAUUUUCAUCAGCACAUCAAAAGAAUCCACAAUCAUUAGCAACUUCAUAUUUUUGACAGCUCCAAAAUAUUUUUUCGGGGUUGAUUGGUAUUCUUGAAUCUUAAUUUCAGCGUAAAGCCCACAAUAACAUACCCGAACUGUCAUGGUGUUGUGAAAAAUUACAUAAGAUAUUAACAUUCCAAUAUUACAAACAGAACAGGAAAAAAAAUUAAGAAACAAGAACUUAGAGAGAGAAAAAUGGAGAAGAAGGGAGAAAAAAAAGCUCAAAUUGCUUCAAUAAUGAUGUUGGAAGCAUAUGAGGAAGAAGUAGCAUUUAUAAGGACUUUAUGACUGUUGGGGGACUUUUUUCGAUGGCUUACGUGCGCUUGAAGGCUAAACUAUUUGCUCCUAUGUGAUUCCAGCCACAUUGGAUGCCACAUCAAAAAAAAGUAUUUAAAAUGUUCAUUUUUAGUGGGUUCAAGGAUUCAGAUGAUAAACAUGUAAGUAGAAGUGUCUACAUUACAAAACAGACAUAGUACAAGGGUCCAUUGAAUUAUUUUGCCUUUUAUAUUUCAAUCUUUCUUUCUCACUUAUAUUUUUAGCUCUUAUCUUAAGGGGUGUUUAGCCAUAAAAGUUUUAAUAUUUUUAGAAAGAUCAUGUAAGAGUAAAAAAUAAUAUUUAAAAAUUAAAAUUGUGUUUUGAUCAUAAAUAUAAAUUGGAGGCGUUUUUGAAUUACUUUUCAAAUUUCAAUUUUUUGAAAAGUAUUAUCACAAGAUCAUAUACAAAAAAAUUGAUUUUCACUAAGAGAGUUAAAAAAAUUGUAUUGCUUGAGAUUUGAAUUUAGAAUUUAAAGUGAAUUUUGAAUUUUCUAAACUAUUGAUCCUACUCUAAUUUAUUGUUUAGGGUAUUGAAAAAAAAAAACUAUAUAGCUAGACAUUAAUUCUGCUAAUAUAUGCAGUAACGAGAUGAGCCUCGCCAUAGUACCAAAUUUAUAUGAAUUUAUUUAUGAUUAAUUAGGAGUUGUUAGAUUAAAAAAGUGAACAAAAAUGAAAGAGUUGAAAAAAAAAAGAGAAAUAUGAAAAAAAGAGUGGCUAGCCAAGAUUUUGUAGUUAUAUAGUUUUCUUUAAACAGUCUAUAGCAUCAAUGAUUUAGGAAAUUUAAAAUUCACUUUAAAGUUCUAUAUUUAAUCUCAAGUAUUUUUUUUUUUUUGAUUAUGAGUAGCAUCAAUGAUUUAGGAAAUUUAAAAUUCACUUUAAAGUUCUAUAUUUAAUCUCAAGUAUAUUUUUUUUUUGAACUCUUUUAGGAGUCGUUUGGUACACUGAAUGUGAUAAAUAAGAAUAUCUAAGGUGGGAUAUUUCAUAAGAUUAUUUUAUUCAUCUCUCUCCGUGGGACAGUAAUCUCAUUAUCUUAAUAUAAAUGGUGGAAUAAAAUAAUUUUGAAAUUAAGUAAUACCUUAUAUCAAAUAUGGGAUAAAGUUAAUUCUAAAUUUUAUCCCAAAAUUAUUUUUUAUCCCUUCUACCAAACGAUUCCUUAGUGAAAAUCCACAAUCUUUUCAUAUCUGGGUUUGUGAAAAUAUUUCAGAUAAAUUAAAAUUUAAAAAAUAGCAAAAAUUAUUUCUAAUCUAAGUUAUUCCUAAAAACUCAAAAACACUUGCAAUUCGUAUUUAUGAUCAGACAUAACUUUAAUUUUUAAAUAAUAUUUUUUACUUUUAAAUAAUUUUUAAAAAAUAUUUACACUUUUCAUGACUAAACACUCCUUAAAAUAAAAACUAAAAUUUGAGUGGGGAAGAUAGAAAUAUAAAAUAAGGAGGCAAUAUUCAAAAAAAAAAAAAACAGGAAACAGAAGGAAAUGUGAGGAAAUAUUGGGAGAGGAACAUUUGCUAAUACAAUGGACCCCACAAGAACAUAUGUCAAAAGCAAAAAGACCCUUACAUAACUAUUGUUGGGUGAGCCUCACCCAUUUUAUAAUUUUCCAUCACCGAAACUACAGAUCAUAUGCUACUGUCAUUUGCACUUUUUCCCUUGAAAUAAAUAAUAUUUUAUAAGUUUAUAAUCAUUUUAUAAUAAUAUUUCAUGAGUUAUGGUCCUCUCCUAUAAGGUAGUUGUCCCAGUAGAUAUAAUUUCAAUUGCGAAAACUCAAAAUUCGAUGGGCGAAUUGCAAUUAAAUGACCUAAUUUGUCAUGUCAUUUGAGGACAAAAUGUUUGCAUGGAUUGUUCUUGUUUUAAAGUGGUUUUCAAUUUUUGCAAUCAAAAUAAUAUAGUUGAAUUUGUUUAAGUGUUUUAAGGGCACGCGAGUUAGAUUGAUUAUAAAAAUGAAAUAACAAUGAAAUGAAUCACAGCAACAAGAUGUAAUGAAUACAAAGCAAGAAAAUAAUUAAAUUAGAUCCUAAAAUUGGGCCUAGGUGGCUUUGGUAUUCUCUGUCCGAAAGCUGAUGAAUUGAGAAACUGAGAGCCUUUUCUUAAGAAGAGAAAGUAUGUAUGAACAAGUGUGUCUUGUAAAAACUUUCAGAGCCUCGAAUGUUUGAUUCCUAAGUGUGUCACUGUCUUCCAGUUGAGCAGUAGCACUUUGGUUGUCGGGUUGGAAAGAUUAUCUUAUCAUCAUUACUAGUUACUGUUUCUGUAUCAAGAUUCUACCUUUCUGAAGUUAGACAGGCCAUGUUAGUAAGGCCGGUACCAAUGUCGAGUAUUAUAGGAUCCCUCCAAAAUUGGACAUCACUCCGAGCUCGGUCUUUUGGAAGGGUUCUUCUGGUGCUCCCCAAUAGUCCCUUCAUAGUCAGACGCAUGUAUCACAUCUUUCAUGUCUUUUUUUUUUGCAACAAAUGUGAAUAUUAACAUCAACAAAACAGUCAUAUAAAAAUAAUUUUUUUUUAAUUUGAGUCUCAUAUGUCAUGUAAUAGUUGUAUGAGGUCUUUAAUAUUUGACGAAAUACAUAUACAGGCCCUUGAAAUAUUUCACUUUUCCCGUUUAGACACCUAAAUUAAGAAAGGUACCUAUUGAACCCUUUACUCCUUCAGAAAUGGUUUCAAUUGAGCCCAAUUCUCCGAUGUGGCAGUUUGCGUGUACUCACAUCUGGGAGGCGCGUGAAAUGUCAUGGAACCAGCUUAUGUGGCACCCAACGGAUCUUUUAUCCUCUUUUUAUACCCAAUUUCUUAAAAAAAAAAAACCCUAAUUCCCACUUUCUUCCUCUUUUUAUACUCAAUUCUUAAUAUCCACCAUUUUUGUCUCCUAAAUUCUCCUUCUCCUCUUAAAUUUCUUUUCAGCCUUUUCUCUUGCUUCGCUUAAACUCUCCUACUCUUAUUAAUUUCUUCUUCUUACUCGUUUUUAGUAGUAAUAUCCAAUUCAUCUUUUUCAUUGUCUUCAUCUUCUUUAAUUCCAAAAGGAGUAUGUUUAUGUGGGGUGAAAGCUGAAAUUAAGACCUCGUGGACACAACUCAACACUAGUGGGAGAUUCUUUUACUGCAAAACUUCAAAGGUAUUCAUCUUUUGCUGCUUCAUUGGACGAAAUGCAAUUACUUCGAUUAGUGGAUGCAAUUUUUUAAUUUAAUUUUUUCUUUAAACCUGUAGGCGAGAGGUGGAUGCAAUUACUUUGAUUGGUAUGAUGAUGAAAUGCCCCCUCAAGCAAAGAGGGUGAUGUGGGGUUUAUUAAAAAAAUUCAAAUCAUUUGAAGAAGAGAGGAAUCGAUCAAGAAAAUUUAAAGUGAUAUGCGUUGGGGCGAUUGUGAUUUUGGCUACAUGGAAUUUCUUCAAGAAAUGUUCUUAGAUUUUGACAAAUAUUGGCUUAGGUUUCUUAUAUAUAGGACUGUUUUGAUUUGGAUAAUUCUGAAAUAUAUUAGUUGUAUUGGGACUGUUUUGCUUUGGCUUUCUUGUUGUAGUGGGAUUGUUGUGUAUGAAACAAUUAAGAAGGAAUGAAGAUAAGUUGUGAAAUGUUACUCUCUUACUAUGUUUUGAUUUUUCUUUACUUUUGUAAUUGGUUUAGUUAGAUUAUUGUACUCUAUUUUUUUAGAGUUCAAAUAAUUCAUUUAAAUGAUUCAAAGCUGUCAAAUGUUUAACACAAAAGGAACUACCAUUCAAUAAUUAUAUAAAGCACAAGUGCAACUGAUCGACAUUUUAAACACAAUAAUCUACCAUUCAACUGCUCAAAAUGAGCUCCAACCAUACAUCAAGUGUUCAUCCAAAACUAAUCUAAACAAACCACAAAAAAUAGUUCAGAAUCUUUAAAAAUCCCAACAAAAUACCAAAGUAGCCAUACAACUAAUAACCAAACUAUACAUUGUGCUAAAAACACAAUUAAUUCAACAACUUCAGAUUCCUCCUGGUGCACUAGAACUUUCAAGUUGGCUUCUUUUUUUACUGACUCAUACUCUGCAAUUGAGAAGUUGUGACGACAUUCUUUUCCUUCCACUUCAUUCCUCGAGGCUUAUAACCAAUAUCAAUAUUUGUUUGAGUUACAUCUUUGUAAACACCCAGAGUGACAACUGUUUCACUUCUAGUUCCAGGUUGUAUAAAAUGAAGUAAAAUUAGAUUUGUCAAAAGAUAAUUAAAAAUUACAUGAAUUGAAGUUGUAAUUCACACUUACAUUUAAUGUUUUACUGCAACUCAUUUGAUCAGUGUAGAUACCAAAUCCUACUGUCUUAGACCUCUUUUGUCCUACUGAUGAUGUUGAUGCUCCAAUGGUCAUUUUUUCCUUAAGUUGCUGAUCAGAUACACUUUCUUUUCCUCUACUUCUGCCAGUGCCUCUUCCAGAUCCUUUGCCUUUGCCAGCUCUCCUACCUUUGUCAGUAUCUCUACCUCUACCUCUACCUCUACCUCUUCCAGCUGGCUGCACUCUUAUAACUGCUGAGGUAUCAACACACAUAGAACUGCUGAAGCUUGGUUGCUGGCUGAAGCUUGGUGGCCUGCUAGAGCUUGGUGGCCUGCUAGAUCUUGGUGGCUAGAUGAAGCUUGGUGGUUAGCUAAAGAUUGGUGGCCUGCUAAAGCUUGGUGUCUUGCUAGAGCUUGGUGGCUGUCUGAAGCUUGGUGGCUGCUAGAGCUUGGUGGCAUGCUAGAGCUUGGUGGUUGGGUAGAGCUUGGUGGCCUGCUAGAGCUUGGUGUCCUACUAGAUCUUGGUGGUUGACUGAAGCUUGGUGGCCUGCUAGAGCUUAGUGGCUGGCUAAAGCUUGGUGGCCUGCUAGAACUUGCUGCGUGGCUAGAGCUUCCAGGUUGUCCCAUUCCAUCUUAACAAUAAAGGAUAUUAAAUAUAUAUUAUAAAUAUCAGAAUUUAAUUAUUGAAUUAAAAGAUAUGAGUGCAUUACCUGAGCUUUACAGAGAGUUCUGCUAUGACCAAUUUGAUGACAUUUGGAGCAAGAAAUUUUCAGUCCUUUCCAGGAUAGCUUCCCAUAUUUCUUCUUAGGCUCAUUCUUCCUUUUUUUCUAUUCUUUCCUGGUCUGCUAGGCAUUCGUCUAGGCUCAUGAGGAUCAAUCACUACACCACUUGUGUUAGGCUACAUUUCCAUAUUAGAUAUUGGCUGAAGAAAGUAGUCAUAAGCCUUCAAGAAUGUAUCUUUCUUAUACCACUCUUCCACAUAAAAUUCAGGCUCUAUACCUUUAUGCUGAUAAGCCAAUACAGCAUGUUGACAUAGUAUGCCUCUCAAUUUCCAGCUUCUGCAAGUGCAAGUCCUUGUCCUAAUAUUAACUAUAUGCCUAUAAGGACCAUCUAAAAUUCCAUACCCAAUCUGUCCAUUGAACCUCACUGUGCAAUUUCUAGCCAUAUCUUUAUUUUCUUCAAGUACUAGCAAAGCCAUAAGAGAGAUGUCUGAAAUGCAGGUAUUAACAAACUUCCUCAUUUCAACAUUUCUAUCCAUUAUCUUAUGUCUAAUCUCCUCUAACAUACAGAUUAUAGAUUUAUGUCUAACAGCUAAAAUUCAUGAAUUAAAAGUCUCACACAUAUUAUUCUCAACAAUGUCACAUUUAGAAUACUCCCUAAAAUAUGCCCUGCACCAUGAUUUUUUUCAUAAUGUAAUAAGUCCUCACAAAUAUCCUUACCAAGUUGACUGAGUUUGCCCAUCUCAUCCAAAAACUUCACUUCAAAACUGGAUUUAGCACACCUCUAAAAUUAUUUUCUUCUUUCUUCUCCUCUCCAGAUCUGAUGUCAAUUGGACCAGAUGUAUCUUGCACACCACCUCAUUUCACAAUCUGGUAACAACUCAAGUAUAGUAGGUACAAGACCUUACAUCAGUAUAAAUACAAAAUAAAAACACAAAAUAUAUGAACAUGGAAUGUAUAGUAAAUAAAUAGAAGACAUCAAAAUUAAAUUUUAAAAAGUAGACUAACCUUUUGCAUAUCUGACAUGACAGACAGAUCAUGUUCAAUGCCUAAGUUCAAAUCUUGAAUCAAGUGGUUAAUGAAGAAACUCCAGCUAUUUUGUCUUUUGAUCAACCACUGCUCAGGCUAUUGGAUACAUUUGAUUAUUUCCAUUUCUCCCAACUGCAACUAACAAUUCACCCUUGCAAGAACCUUUCAAAAAACAACCAUCUAACCCAAUAAUUUUUCUGCACCCUGCCAGCCAGCCUCUCUUUAAUGCAUCAAAGCACAAAUAAAAAUAAAUAAAUAGAUUUUUUCCAAGUUGAGACUCUCUAUCUAUCCUCACCCAACAAGAACUGUCAGGAUUAAUAUGUUUUAUCAUGUCUGCAUAGUCACACAACCUUGAAAAUUCCAUCUUCCAAUCACCCAAGAAUUCUUUAAUGAUUCUAUGCUUUGCCUUGCUACAAAUAGUUUUUUCCACAUACAAACCCAAUUUUUUUCUCACCAAUUCCUGAAUUUCCCACAGUUUUAUAUAAGGUUGUAAAGUUAUUUCAUCUUUGAACUUACUUACAAUAAAUUUAGAUGUGCACAAUUUAUUUUUAUAGUAGUAGUGCAUACAUGUACAGGAUAGUAGUGCUUGACAACAGAGUCACCAGAAUGCUUAUCAAUACUAGCAAACAACAACCAUUUACAUUUCUUGCCCUUACACCUAACUCUAACUCUAUGUUUCUCAUUAGGCUUAAGCUUCAAUCUAACUUUGUAUUCAACAGCAUACUCAACCACAACCUUUCUAAAUUGCUUAGCAUUUUCAAAUAUCAUACCAAGCUCAAAUAUAGCCACAACACAAUCAGAAUCAAAUCUUACUUUUUUUACUUUUCCUUUUUGCUGAUAAAUCAACACCCCUGACAGUUUCAGGUUCCAGUCCAUCAGCACUAUCAUCACUAUCAACUUCAAAGCUAUCUAUAUACUUAUCAUCUCCCCCUAAUCUUCUACUGUAUCUAGCAGUCUUAUUCCUUCCAAUAUCUUCAAAUCCCCUAUCAACACCUGCUGAUCCAAGUUUUAUUUUUUCAUUUUGGACAGAUUUCUUUUGUUUCACACAGUUUCUCCUUUCAUUUCUAAGAGUUCUUAACUCUUCAUCAUCCUCAGAAUCGUCAUCUUCUGGUAUAUUAAACUCUUGAGAAUCAACACUACUAUCAAGAUCUAUUUCAGCCCCUUCUAGAUCUGAGAGUUCAUCUGCACCAGAUUCUAUAUCUAUGUUGUCAGUUUGGGUAGGUUCCUCAUGUAACCCUUCAACAUUAAUAUCAUGAACUGUUGAUAUGUUCUUACCCACAUUACUAUUUUCACCAACCACAUUACUACUUUGAUCACCUACUGUACCACAAAGAAAACCAGAUGGGACCUCAUCUUCUACCACUUCUACCUCAUCCACAACAUGGUUCAUAUACAAGUCUAAAAAGUCCCCAUCUUCUAGGUCUUCAACAAGACUUACCAAAGUCAAGUCAUUUUCUACUUCAAUAAAGACUUUCUUUUUAGGGUCUUUAAAGUAGAACCCACCAACAGUCAUAUACCCAAAUUCUUUAGUAUAAUAAAACAACUUGAAUAUAGAAAAGUGGUCUUUGUUCGUACUUACAUAUUCCACCUCACUUUCUCCUAUGUAGUGUGGACCAUAUUCUUCAUCAGAAACAAACUUGCCACCAUGGUGAAAAUGAGUUGUAAUAAUAAUAUUAGCCAUUAGAUUCCUGAAACAAAAUUCCAAAAAUACCUGACAAGUUAUGAAUAGUAAAAACCCUAAAAAAAUCCUAGCUUUUUUCGGAUAUUCCCAAACUACAAUUACUAACGUAAUAUACUAACAAAGAACUAAUAAAUCAUUUACAACAACAAGACAUGACAAAAAUGUGACAAUAUUGACAUUUGCAACAUACCUGAGUGCGAUUCAAACACAAAACAAUAACAAUUUUUUAGAUCCAACUCCAGAUUCUUUGCAACCAAUAAAGAAAUGUUGAAAUCAGUGUCAAACUUGAACUAAUCACUCAAAAACACUAUGUAACUUUUUAUUAUACAACAAACGAAGCAUAAAUUAGUAGUAUUAGGAGUGAAAUCGCAAUUUUAGGGUUUCUGAUAGAUUUAGGGAUGUGUAUGAGGGAUUUGACGUUAUAAGGAGGGAAACGAAGUAGAAAUUAUCUUUAUGUAUUAAUUAAAAAAAAGGUGGGGUGUAAAAUAUAAUUGGUUAUAAUUGGUCAAAAUCUACACGUAGACGAUGACUACAUACACGCACUUAACACGUUAAAAAAGAAGGCUUUAAAAAGGUGUCAUGUCGGACAAUUGAGCUCAGUUGAAACCAUUUAUGAAGGGGUAAAGGGUUCAAUAGGUAUCCGUCUUAGUUGAGGUGUCUAUACGGAAAAAGUGAAAUAGUUAAGGAAUCUCUCUAUAUAUAUAGCCUUAAUAUUUUGACAAAUUAACCUUUUGGGUCCCACCUUUCGGAGAAUUCUUUCUUAUUUUUUCCUCUUCAUUUUCUUUUCUGUCUCAUUGUCAUUUAACUUUUUUUUCUUCAACAAAUAAUGUUUUGUGCUUUUGCUCUUUCUUUUUGGGUUAUUUUUUACUUAUGGUUUUCUUUAUUUUUCUUCAUUUACCCUAUUUCUUUCCAAUUUUUUUUAGUACUCUUGAUACAAGUAAAUUGAAGGUUUUUCUUUUUCCUUUAAUUUUUUAUUUGUCAAUAUUUAUAUGCAAAUUAAAUGAUACUUACUUUUUUAUUUAUUUUUUUAGUUUAUUUUAAAAAUAUUAUUUCUUUGAUUUUUAGAUAGUAAGGUAAUAUUGUUUCCAUUAGUUAGUGUCUAGUUAGAUUUUGUAAUUAUUUUAAUCCGAAAUAUAAUUUUUGAUAUAUAUUUAAUGAUGUGACAGUUCCUAAAUUUCCAAGAAAAGUUAUUUUAAAAAUUAAAAUCAAUAGUUAGAUUUAUUUAGGACCAACUCAUUCUAAAUUCAAUUCAAUUCUUGAAAGACCGCCUGGAAAUAAUUUUUCUAUAUAGAAAAUUAUCUUAAUGAUUAAAAAAAAAGAUGAUUGCUCUUCCAUUUUUAACAUGCUAAGUAUUAUACAUGUCCUAAUAACAUUGAACCAUGAUAAAUAAUAUUAUAUAAAUUCAAUUAUAAAAAACAGAUUUAUCACUUAUCAAAUUUAAUUUUAAAUUUUCGAUAUUCAAAUUUUUCAACACCAACAAAAAGAGAGUAUAAUAAAAAAUAGAAAUUAUUGUCAUGAUUGAAUGGCCAAAAUUUUAUUUUCUUUUUUUUAACAAAUAUGAACAAAUAAUAGUUGGGAUGAAAAAAAAGAUUCAUUCUACUUAGUACCGAAACAGGAGGAAGAAAAAUCAAUUUGUGAAAAAAGACAAAGAAAGAAUAAAAAACAGUAAACAAAAAAGUAACCAAAAAAAAAGAGCAAAUAAUGUUUUGCCCCAAAAAAGUUAAUGAUCGAAAAAGUAAAAUAAAUAAAUGAAUAUAGAAAAUGAUCUGAUAGUGGGACCCCAAAGUCCAUUUGUCAAAAAAUUAAAGACCUCAUAUUAAAAUUUUACAUAUACAAACUAAAAGCAUCUCGUCUCAUCUCCCACUUCUAGAAGGUUGUACUACUAAUUAGGCCUCCAGGAAACAGAGAAGUGUGGUACAAAAAUUAAUUCGUCUGUCUGCUCUCUUUCUAUCCCUAUAAAAUUCAAUUCUCUCAAUAAUUUCGCAUGUGAUUUGCCCCACUGUGUCUGUACAUAGUAUGUCCUCCUACUUUGCAUCCUUGGAUGAAUACUGGACCUUUAAAUUGAAUCCAGUUCCUUGCUUUCCAGAUGUAAUACACCAUAGUCCCCCAUAAUGCAGCUGCCGCUUCCUUCUUAAACUUCUUCCAAUGCUCUCUUCUAAUCAGCUCAAAUGUAGUCUUCACAUCUCCUGCGGACAGUGAAAUAUUGGAUUAUUAUAUGAGUUCAGCUCUUACCAGUGCAGCAUAUAUAGCCACAGUCAACAAAUAUGUGGCUACUACGCUCUCCAUUGUAGAUGAUUGAAAUAGGCGGCAGUUGACAUUUUCUAUGUACAUGUUCAUAUGUAGUAAUCUUUCCUUCGUAAGCAAUCUGUUCAGCAAGGUAACCACUAGUAAUUGAAUACUUUAGCAGUAAGGAUGAAUUGCCCCCAUGCAUCAGUGUUUCAUUCUAUCCCUUAUAAAAUUUAUUUUCCUCCAACACCAGCUACUUGUUAUUUUCGUUUGUACUUUGGGUACACAGAAUCAGUAUAUGCAGAACAAUAACUUCAACUAGAGUUCAAGUAUAAACAAGAACACAAUGAAGUAUAUCAAAUACUCUCUAACACAAGAUCGAAAUGACCUUUUCAAGAGGUGUAUUUUAUUUUUUCAGAAAUUAAGAUGAAACAGAAAAUAGCCAAGUCAUCCGAAUUCACGAAGUUUCUUUAAGGAAAUAAUUUCCCUCACUGUACCCGAGGUUAUAGAAUUUUUCCUCCUAGAAUAAAAUGGCUAAAUAGAUCAAUUGUAGCGGUACCUCAAACGGUUGGAAUAUCUUCGAACGCACAGGACGUUUUGAUUGAUCACAUAGAGUAAUUUGGAAGACAAGAAGUAAUUUUGUAUUCUGAAAUUUUCAUAUCAAAACCUGUGGAUGAAAGCAGGUUUAUAUAGCCAUAACAUGUCUCUUCUGAAAAUAGGCAAUGGUUCACUCCAAAGGUUACACCUUUGCUGUAAGUUCAUGUCUGUUCAUCAAAGAUUGCAUCUUUUCCUGAAUAGUCAUCUCAUUUCAUGAAUCAGUGUGUCACUUCAUUGAAGGAUUACAUCCUUCUGAAGCAUCAUUUCGAACCAUUGCAACUCAGUUUAAAACAAUAUAUCAUUUCUGAAGCACCAGUUCAAAAACAAUGCAUCAGUUCACUUGAAACAGUGCAACUGUUACUGCAUCUAUAUAUAAAUGGAGAUCCUAAACACUGCAGAAAAAUUUUACUGCGUUUUUCCUUGGCAUUCUUCGGAAUUCAAAUAAAGUUUGUCCAAAAAAAUAGAUCUCAUCGAUCAAUCAUUAUCCAAAUCCAAAGCCAAGCGAGCAACGAUGAAAAUGGCGCAAGACAUCUAUUAUUUCUUGCCUCACUUGCCAUGUGGAAUAAAUGUUCUUGAUUAUAAAUACUUUCAAGUACUCUUCUUCCACCAAUGUGGGAGAAAGAGUAAAUUAUCUAAUUUGGAAGUACACUUUUCAUUUUAGUGUCUCCUUCCCCUCCAUCAUUUUACUCUCCAUUUUUUCAUUCACACUUCUUUCAUAUACUAUGAACCCAACACUACUAUCUGCUGGCUUCUGUGUCCAGAUAGUGUCAGUUUUGAUACAUAUUUCGGGUGCCUACUUCAGCCCCAAAGACUCCUUCUUUACAACUACUUUCCACAAAACCUUGCCUACCGAUGCCAAGUUCCAAUUCUCACACAAUAUUCAAACCACCCUGCUUUUUGGAGACACUUUAUCCCAAGCUACUAGUGCUACCUUCCUUUUCCCUCUAUAAUACCCCACAAGUAAUCUCUAAAUGUCUUAUCUACCUCCUUCACUAUACUAGGGGGAAGGAGAAAAACUGCAUUUUAUUCAUCCAUCUGUCAAGACCGGUUUUACCCCAUACUACCAAAGCGGCCAGCAAAAUUUUGACCAUACUGCUUUGAGCAAAUCUUCCUGAGCAAAAUAAAUGGUCUGAAAUUUCCACUUUCUUAGAGUGGGGCAAGCAAUACAAGAAUCUUGAUUGGAAGAUUAUAUCAAAAUUUUGAGACCUUUUCAUCAGUUGGUACCCUGUCGUAUGAAGCUCCCCACCUUACAAAUGUCAUCUUGAAAAAUAUUAUUGUUUAUGCCACAUUUUUUGGGCACUUACUUGAUUGUUCUUUCUUCUAAAUUAGGAGCUCCCAUGCUGAGGCUAGUGAGAACCUGCCAUUGAUGUUAGCCAACCCUAGUACUCUAUCUGGAGCUGCAUGGAAUAAGGUAAUGUGGUGUUGUGCUACCAUGCCAUAUUGCCAAGUGACAUUGUCAAGUGCCUCCUUAAGAAGGGAUAUUUCCGGCUUUUGCUCCAUCAGGUAAAUGACUAUAGAGCAUUCCCGUUUUUGUUCAGUUGUCAUACCAGAAUGAUGUUUUUACCUUUCCAGGCAGGCAUGCUAUAUUUUCCUUAACUUCAUGCUUUAAGUCACAGAGGGCUCUCCAGCCGUGUGACUGUUGCCCUGAUAAUUUUCAUGGAUCGUACAUGUGAAAUAUUUGGUUUGGGUGGAAAUGAAUUGACUCUCAUCUAAGAGAAAACACACUGCUAGUUAAUUAUAUUAUGUCGCAGCAUUAAUGGAGACACUCUUUAGAUGCCCGGUCCCCUUGCCAGCCACUAGAACUUGGGAGGGCAAUUUCUGUUGAUCCUUGACAAGCCAAAACAAUUUCCAAAUUAAUCAUUUAAAAAAAAAAAACAUUACAGAGCCAAGAAGCCAUCAUCUAACACAAGAUCUAGCAACACUUAGUAUAGAAAAUUCACAAUCUUUCAUUGAUAUAAACAAUUGAAAGAGCAAUUACACGAGAACAUCAAAUUAGACAUUAGAGUCAAUGAGUUCUCCAUUCACUAACUCUCUGUAAGCAGCAACAGGCCAGAUGAAGCCUCUCCAGACGAGCCUGUUAGCCAAUGGAACAUCAAUGAUGAUCUCCUUCAUUGUUGGCUUCUUCUCAUCUCUUAUUGCAAUCAAGUAGCUCCUUCCUACCCACCCAAUCCAUCCAGCAAUGUACAAGAAGAGGAUCCCAGGAGUGAUGAACUCACCCCAGUGCCUCUGGUCUCCACUCACUAUCAGGUGUGGCAGUCCAUCCGAUCCGCACAACAGUCCUUGUUUCGCAUAGUUGUCAAAUCUGCAAUGUCAAUAGGUGAGUGACUUUGUAAGUGAAAUAAAACAUGGACUCGAGUAUCAAGGAGUUGGAAUCAAAUGGAAUGUUCUAUUUUUCUAUGUUUACUUAGUCUAUGUCAAUGACUUAUGCAAGGAAAAGUUGAAAAUCUGUUACAAAAUAACUUGCCAUUCUUUCAUAAGCAAAUUUACUUCGUGCGCUCCUAUAGGGAGAAGGUGUUGAAGGUGGCCUCGUUUUCACACUUUUGGUUGGAUAAACGGAAGCCAUCAUCUAACACAAGAUCUAGCAACACUUAGUAUAGAAAAUUCACAAUCUUUCAUUGAUAUAAACAAUUGAAAGAGCAAUUACACGAGAACAUCAAAUUAGACAUUAGAGUCAAUGAGUUCUCCAUUCACUAACUCUCUGUAAGCAGCAACAGGCCAGAUGAAGCCUCUCCAGACGAGCCUGUUAGCCAAUGGAACAUCAAUGAUGAUCUCCUUCAUUGUUGGCUUCUUCUCAUCUCUUAUUGCAAUCAAGUAGCUCCUUCCUACCCACCCAAUCCAUCCAGCAAUGUACAAGAAGAGGAUCCCAGGAGUGAUGAACUCACCCCAGUGCCUCUGGUCUCCACUCACUAUCAGGUGUGGCAGUCCAUCCGAUCCGCACAACAGUCCUUGUUUCGCAUAGUUGUCAAAUCUGCAAUGUCAAUAGGUGAGUGACUUUGUAAGUGAAAUAAAACAUGGACUCGAGUAUCAAGGAGUUGGAAUCAAAUGGAAUGUUCUAUUUUUCUAUGUUUACUUAGUCUAUGUCAAUGACUUAUGCAAGGAAAAGUUGAAAAUCUGUUACAAAAUAACUUGCCAUUCUUUCAUAAGCAAAUUUACUUCGUGCGCUCCUAUAGGGAGAAGGUGUUGAAGGUGGCCUCGUUUUCACACUUUUGGUUGGAUAAACGGAGGACUAAACGAGUUUUUAUGAGCAUUAUCGGGUUCUAGAAUAUAUAUCAAAAAGGAAUUCUACAUUUUUAUAUUUCGGAGCUUUUUAAUUUUAAGCUUCUUAUCUUACUCGUAUGCUAUCAUAACUAUAAAAAUGUAAUGUCUGAGAUCACAAUUCUAAGAAUACUGAUAAGUGAGACUUGAGCACCUCCACCAAACCGGUAAGUGGGAUCACUGUUAUUCUCACCAAAAGAAGAAUCUAAGAAUACUAGUCUUUAAAGAAGAAAAAUUUGUACACAAUCAAAUACAUCCACAUAAAGUGUAAGAAUAUGAUUAAAUAGAAAAUGAUUACUAAGGACAAAGCAAGGAAAAUUUAGCAUAUAAGAAAGAAGGGAACUUUCAAGAUUCUUGCAAAAUUUAAAAGAAAAGGUAACAAAGACAAACCUGCGCUUAGUUUUCUCAAUAGUGGCAUUAAUAGCAAGUGCAGGAGCACUAUCAGGUGCAUACAGUUUCAAAGAAUUCUCAAGCUUCUUGAUCUGUUGCUUCUCCCUCUUAGCAAACUGCUUUGACUCCUUGCAAGGUGUGAGCCCAGAGAUGUCAGCAGAAGCUGGAAGCACUGGUGCUGACAAAAGAAUUGAAGACAAAGCAAGUGCUGCUGAGAAUGCUUUUAAUGAGGAAGAACUCUCAUCUGUCUUAGUAGAAGCAGGGGUCUGGUUUGAAGAGCAUACUAUGGUUGAAGUUCUUGGUUUUGUGGUAAAUUGUGAGCUAAACUUAGAUGAUGAAAUGGGUUUUGAAAGGUUUGUAGGAAUUGUGAGAGACAUGUUGUAGUUCUUUCUGUCUUUAAUGUAUUAUUUUCAAGAAAAUGGUAGACAAAGAGAAAGGAAAAAAGAAGAAGUUUGGAGUGUGGAGAGUGAAGGGAUGGUUUUUAGAAGUUGUGGGAGAAAUGGUGAUUAAGGGAGAGGAUAAGGUAGGGAACUGGAGUUGAAAGGGAGCUUAGGUGGAGAUAUUUGAUUGGCUAAUUGAGUUGGAUUUUGUGAGUUUGGGGGAUUUCUUUUGAAAUUUUAUCUAUCUGUGGAAGAGCAACAACCAGGGAUUGCAGAUAUAGAUACGCCUCAUUUCGUGUGGCCUCCACAUAUUUGGAAUUUUUUUUUUAUUUUUUUUUUGCAAGGGGAAUUUGAGAAGUGAAAUGACAUAGAGAAGAACUAAAAUUUACAAAGAAAAAGGCCAAAAAGGCGACAGUAGACACAUCUUUAUUGGCCCUAAAAUGGUUUGAAGAAAGAUAGAAUAUCAGAAUAUUGAUUGCUUUCUAUUUAAGCCCGUUUGACAUAUUUAAAACUUAUGAGAUUCGUAUAUGUACGUUUUAUUUCAAAGAAGCAUGUAAAAGUAACUGGAAUGGCAAAAUUUUGUCUUAAAAAUAAUUGGUGUGUCAAAAGAACUGCCGGCAUUUGUUUGUUUUAAGAUUUAUCUAAUUAGCGACAAAUUUCGCGCCCAAAAUCAUAACAAGUCAUUGUGAUGCAAUUACAAAGCCAAACCAGAAACCCAGAACAAUUUCAUUUAAAGAAUGAACAAAGAAAAAGGAAGUGUUAAGUAAUAGUAAAAGCAUGUUGUUCACAUAAAUCGAGGUCAGCAGACAAUCAGUUAUCUCUAACAUAUUAUUACAAUAUGUCGAGUUGUCAGACUAAAAGAAUCUGAUAUGCAAAUGAUCCUUCCAGAAAUUAAAAGUAAAAAAAUAAAUGGAACAAAUAAACGAAAGUAUAACAGAGUUCAAUUGUCUAUCAUCACAAUGUUUACUAUGAGGUCAGAAAUGUUUUCUAAGAUCCGGGACUCAAGUUGCAUGUCUUGUUCUGGCGUGGAGCUUGUUCGGAGCGAUUAACAAGACUUAAAUUUUGUGACUUUGAGAUCAUGGUGACCAUAGAUGGAGUUUCAUACCCGAUGGUGGCGCCACUAUUGCUUGAACUACCACCUUGCAGUAAUAUUUGUGUUGUCGUGUCUCCUCUAGUUGUCGCUCUUUGCCAAGAAUGUGAACUCAAACCCGAGAGGACAUAAGCUCGUCCUGUUUGUUCAUAGCGCUCUCUGCUUGCCAUCCUUUCUCUGAUUUCAGUCAAUUCCGUGUCAAGCCAGCUACAGAGAGCAUCGCCUGCUUGGGCAGAUACAGAAGAUAGAAGAGAAGCUCUUCGGUUAGUUAGCACUGCUUGGGCACCCUCAAGAUUUCCCAUUUCUGCCAAUUGUUGUGCCUCUGCAAUGGCUUCUGCCACUGCCAGCCUAUUUAUCUGCCUAUCAACCUCACGACUUAUUAGCACAUCUGUAGGAGACAACACUGGUGGCCGACUUAUCUCUACUGUCUCACCCUCCACACUGACCAUUUCUUCGGAUGUGGUAUUCUUGUAACUAUAUGUAAUUUGCAACAGAGAUGUCUUUGUUGCGCCUUGCUCAAUAUCAGCGGAAGGAACAGACAAGUAGAAAAGAAAUUCUUUUUCCUCAUCUGCAUACAGAUUUCCGAUGUUUAUUACCCCUUGCUUUCCCUGUUCAGAAAUUUCAUUUGCAUACCUUCCUGAAGGAAUAGAUCCAAUAUAUACUCCACGUGAUGCUGACCUAACAGUAAGCUUUAGUUCCUGGGCGACAACACUAAGGAGACCACCAAUACACAUAGCAAAAGCAUCUUGAACAGUACCAACAGUCUCAAUGAAAGAAAAUGUACCACCUGAUGCAUCUGAGAUAGCAUGCAUAGUAGAGGAGUCAUGGUCUAAACCAAAUCCGAAUGUAUGUACAUGGAAAGUUGGCAGUUGUCUUGCUGCUAGUGCUUCUCUAUUAUGAGUACAAAUAGAAGAAGGCAAUAGAUUCAAAAAGUCUGGACCUGAGGUUGCAUUCGAGGAUCUGCGGUUACGAGGACUCCGCCGUUGAUUGGCAUUAUCACCGUUAUAUGUGUCUCUUCCAUCUGAGAGGAGAACAAUGCUUGCAACUGGGUUCCUUUCACGUCUCUCUUCAAGAACUCGAACCCCCUUCUUCAGUCCUUCCACAAUAUUUGUCCCACCAUUUGCUGAAAUGGAACAGACAGCCUGUGUAGCCUCUCUACGACCUUGCUCUGUCAUCCUUCGCAAGGGAAAAUUUCUUUGAGCUCCUGAUGAAAAAGUAACAAUAGCUAGACGGUCAGAAGGCCCCAAGUUAUCUAUGACAAAACAAACUGCUUGCUUCAGGAGAGUCAAUUUUGAUCCAGCCAUACUGCCACUAAUAUCUAGAACUGUGACCAGGUCAAUAGGUGCGCGUUCUUGGUGCCGAGCAUCAUCAACUAGAGGGGGUGCCCUUACUCCAACAAGAACAGCAAAUUUUGAAAUAGUUUCAGAAGCAAUAACGGCAGAAUAUUCUGGAAAUGCUUUCAAGACCAGAGUCUCUGGAUGAACAGUGGAAGGGGAGGAGGUCUGAUCCAUAAUGAUGCUGGGAAGAGGUUCAUCAUCAGAGAAAUGAAGAGGCUCAGGAAGGGGCAGGGACACAGGUGGUGGAACACGAGGAAUAUUGUCAAGGUAAUUAUCCUCAAGUGGAGAGACACGAGUCCGCCCAGCAUUAUUAGUGUUUGCAUCAGUACUGAAGGACGACAUGAGAGGAAUCUCUUUCCAUUUGCAUCUGCAGAUGGGGCAGAGAUAGUUUCCAUGCUUAACACUGUUGGCAAUGCAGCUGAAGUGAAAAGAGUGAGAGCAUUCAGCGGUGAAUAUGGCCUGACCAUUCCCUGGUUUCAUACUCCCAAGGCAAAUGGCACAUGUUCUCUACAAUCACAAUAGAAUAAAGUGGCAAGUUACAGUCAGAAUUUUGUAAUCAGUAAAUAAAUGUGUGCAUGAUAAAUGAGGCAAAUACAUAAUCACAAUUGCCUAAUCACUUCUCAUUUAACUUGAAAAACCUAUGACCCUUUAGGUAUAUCCACUCAACCAAGCAAUUGCAAUCUUUGCCACCAGUGUGACAUUCAUGGUUAAUACAGUCUCAGAAAAUAGUUUCACUGGUUAAAAAGGUUCUAGAGCUCUUGGGCUUUGAAUGGAAAUAGAUGACUAUCUUGCACACAGUUACCAACUGCACAUAUCGUUUCAAGUCACAAAAUUGAGAACCUGGACUUCAUUGGUAAUAUGUUGGAAUAGGUAUUUGUAACCUUUGGCUACAAGGUAUUAUUGACUUUGUGAAAUAUUGACUAAAAUAACAUGAACCGUUUAAACAGUAACAACUUUGUGAACAAAAUAUACUUGAGUCAUCUAGAAAAAUUUACCAAAAUGAAGUACUGAUAAAAACUAUUGAAAUAUUAAUCUUAUGCAUUUAGCAAACAUAACUUAGUAUGAAAUUAUAAGCAUGAGUUAGUUGCAUGGAAUUCAUAGGUAAACACAACCAAUUUGCUGGUGUAAAAAAAAAAAAUAUGACAUGCUACUUUGCUAGGGAACGGGGUCGCUCAAGGUAAGCCUAAUAAAGUAUUUGCUUUAGGCUUCAAAAUAUUUAAGAUAAAUUAUAUAAUUUUAAUUUCACUUAAAAUAAUAUUAAAGAUUGUAAAAUACAAUAGAUACAAAAUUUAAAUUUAAAAAAAAAAAAUCUACUUUUUAAUAAAAAUACCUUAAAACUUUUAUCAAAUUUUCAUAUUAAUAAACAAAGUUUUUACAAUAAUAUUCAAGGUAAUGCAUUGUAAACAAAUAAUAACAUCUUAUUAAUUAAAACUAGUUCUUACUUUAUAAAUAAUAAUAUUAGUAUGCGAAGUUAAAUGUUUAAUGUCUACUAAAAAAUUAAUACAUGAGAAUCAAAAAAUAACUCUAAAUUAUUGAUAAUAUUUUUGUUAUGUACAUAUAGUUAAGGUCUCAUAUUAAAAUUUGACUUUAGUCCAUUAAUUUUAUUAAAACUAUUUUGCUACGAAGCAAAUCAUUGCUUCAUGACAAUAUGAACAAAUCAAAUAAUGUUUUGAUCUCAAAUUACUUUAAAAAGUCAAGUUUAUAUGAUAACAAGAUGCAAAUAAUAUUGCAUAGACUUAGGUUAAGCUAUUUAAGCCGCAUUAAAAUGUAGACCAUAAUAUUGCAUAGGCUAAGCUAUUUAAGCCGCAUUAAAAUGUAGACCACCCUUCAAUUUUGUUUUAUAGGGUUCAACCAAAAAUACUUCUCCUUCAAUUUUAGGUUGUUCGCACAAAAUUGAAGAGAAUAAAGAAAGUUUUUGAUUAUUGUGGUGUUUAAUUAAAAGAUAUAUGUGGUCUUAAAUACGUGGAAAACUUAUUACUUAAAGGAUAGCAAAAUAAGAAAGACAUAUUUCGAAACAGAUUAAAAAAAAUUAACACAAAUAAAUUGGAACAGAAUAGUACUUAUUUAUCAAGUCCGUUAAACUAGCAAAUUUACAUUUCAAUGUAAUAAAAACCAAAUUGGGACAACUAAUAUACCACUCCCCUGUCUCAAUUAUGUGACACUUAGGUCAUGUUCUAAAAAAAAUGAUACAUUUCUAUAUUCAAUAAUUAUUUAACUUUAACUUAAACUGCUUAUUUUACCGUUGAUGUGAUUUAUAGGCCACACAAGUAUUCUAUAGCUUAUUUAUGUGUUUCACUUAAACACACCCUCUUUUGGGUACGCAAAUAGUAAGAGUCUUUUCGCUACCAAUCGGCAUACAUGGGUCUUGCCGGUAUCAACAACGAGGAAGAAACAAUCAAAAACAAAAUUAACUACAGCACUUGGCCCAGACAACGUCUCAGUCGUUACCUUAGGGGGAAGUACAUAAAAAGCAAAUACGUAGUAUAUAGGAAAAUAAUCUUCUUGUAGGUAGAAAAGUCAAUUAUUGUUACGUCUAAGGCUCUCUCUAAGCUAUUAAUUAAAGAUUAUAAUAUUUAUUAAAGAUUAUAACAUCAGAAAUGGUCCAACUGCAUCCAACCCCUUUUAUAGACAUGCAUACACACAGCUGGCGUAAGAAUGUGUCCAAAAAAUCUUAACUAACAAUAAAAGAUCCCCAAUUUGUCAAAAGCUGAAAUCAUCAUAAUUUACCAGCAAACCCACAAACAAAUCACACAUCUUAUACCUAGAAUUUAUAAAAGAAAACAAAAAUUAGUAGCAAGUGUUAAACUGCUUUGUUUGUUCAUUAGGUAAAAAAAAUUGAGGCUCUGGUACUUUUUUUAUACCAGUGGUUAUUAUGCACUGGCAUUGUUAAUAGUGAAAAGGUACUUCAACAAAGUCAAAACUUUAUAUUAAAGAAAGGAAACAAGCACAAAAAUCCAAGAAAGGUCAACUUUUUCUGCUUUAAACUUUUAGGUAGCAAUAAAAUGACCUUUUUGACCUCGAGGUUGAUACCAAAGUAGAGGGCAAUAUAGUAAAUUGCUCAUGCAUUUCGCCGUUUAUAAUGCUAAAACAAAGGUGGAUUUCAUCUAGUUUAUUCAUUGAAUUAGAUCAAUCCAAACAAACGUGAUAAAACCAAAACUGAAUUUCCAAUAUUACCCUCACCUCAGAUCUCCAAAUAACGGAACAAAUCAUAGAUUUUGCUAAAUCACGAUACCAAUUUAGUCAAAAUACACUUUCUCAUGCACAGAAUUUUAUGUUCACAUGGUUAAAAAAAAAAGGUUUGUCAUCACCGGUGACGAAACCACAAUAAAACACAAAAAUAAAAUAUAAAAAAAAAAUGAUAAGAAAAAAUUCUUCAAAAAAAAAUACUGACCUUAGAAGAUCGGGAGGUGGUACUGAAGCUUCUAGAGAAACGAGAAAAAGUGGAUGAAGAUGGGGAGGAAGGUGGCCGAAGAGAUGAUGAUGAUGAUUUGGAAUCGGAAGAUGAAUUCUCCGCUGUUGGAAGAGGAGAUUUAGGUUGCCGAAACGACAGCGUUUUCUGAAGUUUGCUCCAUGUCCCUGACAUUCUUCCUCUUUCCAACCGAAAGGGAGAUGAAUUGGUAUUAGGGUUUGACGAUUUGUAAUAAAUAUAGGAUAUGGUAAAUUGGAGAAGAAGAGAAAGAAAUAUGAGAGGAAAAAAAGACAAAACAGAAAGAAAGAAACUAUUUUAAGAUUUAGAGAAUAAUAAAAGAUCUCUUCUUUCUUUUUUUAAAAUAUAAAUGAAAAGACAAGUAUGAUACGCCUGGUUUGAUCUAAUUAAGCCCCGUUUGAAUAUGAUUUGACAGUGAUUUGAAAUCAGAUUUAUUUUAAGUUGAAGUACGUUUUGAUAUAUAAUUUAAAUUUAUUAAGUUUUUUUUAUUUUCAUAAAUAUAAAACUUAGUAAAUUGUAAUAAAAAGAAUUAUUAAAUUUUUAUAUAAUUUUAUCAAAUUAACGAGCAAAAUGAUAGUUCAUAAAUAAGAUACUAAAAAAUCAUAAUAACUCGCAAUCUUCAUGUUCUUUUUAUAAAUAAGUACAGUAUUUGUAAUUAUAAACUUUUAAAUAUACAUAAUUUUAUAAAUAUUAAUGAGUUAAUUUUUUAAUAUAAUUCUUUGACGUGGUAUUAAUAAUCUAUUUUUAUCGAGUGUGAAUUUAUUUUUAUUUUUUUAUAUAAAAUCUAAAAGGAUGGGUCGUUUUUACUAAAUUUAAAGUUUUACAUUUUAAAUUUUUUGAAUGUAUAAAUAAUGUUUUUUGAAGAAUUUAUUAUCAGAACAUAGGAUUUCAAAUCACAUAUGGAAGCACUAAUAUUAAACAAUAAUUCCAAAUUACAGUGUCAAACGUCUACUAAUUAAUUUCUGUUGAAUUGGUACCAAAAAACAGAAUGACUUUUGAUCUUAAGCAUAAUUUUUUUUGUGGGUGAAAGAAUUAUAAAGUUUAAAACUACACGUUAUUAAGUGAGUGCCAGUUUUAGUAAGAAAUAAAGUAAGAGAGGCAAAGGAGGACUAAUUUGGGGGAACUUUUAAUUUCAUUUUUGGGAGUAAUAUCUUCAUUUUUAAGUGUCUAGAUCCUCAAUGUUGACUUUUGGAUAGUUUACAAUUGUGGUCACUUUCUUAGUAUUUGUAAAUUGUAACCAUAGUGUUAAAAAGUUUACAUCUCCCCUAAAUUUUGAAUAUAUGUAUAUGAUUACAUAGUGUGAACUCAUUGACAAAUAUUAUCGCUUGGUCUAGUGGUAGAUGGACUAAUAUUAAGGGCCUCUCUUCUACCGCGGACGUAUAUUCAAACCCCAUUACAACAUAGUUAUUUUUUUAAUUUUUUAUAUUUCUUUAAAUUCAGAACCCACUGACUUCAAAUUCUGACUCCGCCUUUAAUUUUAAUUUUUUUUUUUAACAUAAUUUGCUAAUGAUGACAUAAUAUAAAUAUAUAACUAUUUAAAUGCAACAUUAAAAUUUGAUCUUUAAGUUUUGGAAGAGUAAGAUUUUUGGUGGAGAAGGCCAAAAGGUUUUCAAAUUUUAUGUUUGAGUAAUUAAAAAAAUAAAAAAAGUACUUUCAUUUAGAGAGUCUAGGGGUGUUCACCAGUGGCGGACCCAAGAUUUUAAGGUUAUGGGUGCUUUAAUCAGGGGUGGAGCUACAGUACCCUACGAGGGUUCGGGCGAAUCCAGUAGCUUUUACGUAAACUCUAUAUUUACAAUAAAAUUUUGAAUAUAUGUAUAUGAUUACAUAGUGUGAACCCGUUGACAAACAUUAUCGCUUGGCCUAGUGGUAGAUGGACCAAUAUUAAGGGCCUCUCUUUUGCCGCGGACGUGUGUUCAAACCCCAUUACAACAUAUUUAUUUUUUUGAUUUUUUAUAUUUCUUUAAAUUCAGAACCCACUGACUUCAAAUUCUGACUCCACCUUUGGUUUUGAUUUUUUUUUUUUUUACAUAAUUUGCUAAUGAUUCAAAUUUUUUGUUUGAGUAAUUAAAAAAAUACAAAAAGUACUUUCAUUUAGAGAGUCUAGGGGUGUUCACCAGUUGCGGACUUAGGAUUUUAAGGUUGUGGGUGUUUUAAUCAUGGGUGGAGCUACAGUACCCUACGAGGGUUCGGACAAAUCUAGUAGCUUUUACGUAAACUCUAUAUUUACACUAAAAUUUUGAAUAUAUGUAUAUGAUUAUAUAGUGUGAACCCAUUGACAAACAUUAUCGCUUGGCCUAGUGGUGAUGGACCAACAUUAAGGGCCUCUCUUCUGCCACGGACGUAUGUUCGAACCCUAUUACAGCAUAUUUAUUUUUUUGAUUUUUUAUAUUUCUUUAAAUUCAAAACCCACCGACUUCAAAUUCUGGCUCCACCUUUGGCUUUAAUUUUUUUUUUUUUUUUUUAACAUAAUUUGCUAAUGAUGACAUAAUAUAAAUAUAUAACUAUUUAAAUGCAACAUUAAAAUUUGAUUUUUAAGUUUUGGAAGAGUAAGAUUUUUGGUGGAGAAGGCCAAAAGGUUUUCAAAUUUUUUGUUUGAGUAAUUAAAAAAAUACAAAAAGUACUUUCAUUUAGAGAGUCUAGGGGUGUUCACCAGUUGCGGACUUAGGAUUUUAAGGUUGUGGGUGUUUUAAUCAUGGGUGGAGCUACAGUACCCUACGAGGGUUCGGACAAAUCUAGUAGCUUUUACGUAAACUCUAUAUUUACACUAAAAUUUUUAAUAUAUGUAUAUGAUUACAUAGUGUGAACCCAUUGACAAACAUUAUCGCUUGGCCUAGUGGUAGAUGGACCAAUAUUAAGAGCCUCUCUUCUGCCGCGGACGUGUGUUUGAACCCCAUUACAGCAUAUUUAUUUUUCAACUGAGAUUCAUUAGACUAUAGACAAUCACUAAUUUUAACUUUCUUUUUCAACCUUGUUGAGCAAGAAUUUAUGUGUUCAUCUUUUGGGGGGUUUAUCAUAUCAUUCUAUUAAUUGUAGUUUUCAAUAUUUUUUUAGAAGCGUUCAUACGGUGUUGUUCAUAGUUUUGUCGAAGUAUAACACUCAGUUGACAUCUUAGUUUCAAGGUUGAGAUACAACACUUGGUUGACAUCUCAUAUGUUAGAUUGAAUUUGUUUUUUUAAAUCUUCAACUUUUAUUAUUAACUAAAGUUAUAAAUAAAAAAAUAGAACCAAAUUGAACAAAACCAACAAGAACUAAACCGACGGUUUUUUUUUUGUUUGGUUUGAUUUGGUUUUAGAAAUUUAAAAAUCAACUAAGUUGAUUUGGUUAUGAUUUUGACCAAUAACCGACCCAUGAACACCCCUAAUCGAGACAAGGCUUUCAGCCAAAAUAAAAUAUUUUUACUGUAUUAAUUUAUGUGAUAUUAUUUGAUCAAAUGUGAAAUUUAAUAAAUAAGGGACUACUUUGUUAUGUUUAUCAAAUUGUGUUAUUAAAGUCACGUUAAUGCUCUUUUACUUUUCUUUAUAACAAAAUGUUAAAUGGACCCAAAGAGGUAAAAUGUGAUUAUAUCACUAGAUAGUUAUCAAAUAAUUAAACAAAAGGUGAAUUUUAUCUAAUUACAUCAUAUUAUGUUAUAAACUCUGUCAUGGAUUUUGGAUUUGGACCUGAGGUGAAGUUACAACCCAACAAAAGAGUGGAUCUCCUUUGAAAUUCGGGUUAAGCAAACAUGUUAAAUAGGAAUAGUUACCCACUGAAGAGAUUAUGCAGAUUAUGUUGAAGUUUUGGCUUUAUCUAUAUUCUUUCAUCUCUCUCCCCUUCAAUAGUCUAUUAUCUCAUCUCCUUCUAGUUACCUUCUUCUUUUAUUAUUCGUAAAUUUCUCAUCAGUAUUGUUCAUUGUUACAUUGUUGCUCAAAUUCUUAUUUGUAUUCAGAUUUAAAUGUAUAAUAUAUAUUAGAGUUGUGGUGUGAAUUUGAGGUUGUUACAUACCAUUAAAUUAGAUAAAAUUCACCACAUCACCAGUUUUAAUUCAAAAUAAAUGUUGUAAUUAAUAAAGUAUACCAUUAAGUUUUAAGUUACUAAUAAAUUUAUAGAAGUAGUUAACUCAUAAUUAGUGUAUCUAAGUGGCACAUACUAAACGCGAACUUGAAUCUAAUUACAUCAAAGGUCCAAAAAAAAAUACUUUGUACCUCGGUCCAACAAUACUUGUUCAUUAUUACUGACUUGGCACGCACCUUAAAAACAAUAUAUAAUAUGGAUAAUUUUACUAAAUUACUCUUUGAAUAUAAUAAAUUUAAUGUUUUUAAAAAUGGAUUGAAUAAUGAUUAGUAUUUGAUAUCAAGGGUAAGAUGACACAGAUCGAUAAAUUAUCCAUUGAUUUUUUACGAUUUUUAGUAUAGUGGACAAUUAAAAAUGAACGGUGAAAAUAGAAAUUUAAAUUAACAAACUCAUACAAAUUAAAAUCAGUUGAUCAAUAAUGUAUAGUUAAAAUAAUAUAAAUAAUUAGAUGCAACAAACAAAGAAAAAACAAGGGAAAACUUGCUCUAACUCAAUAAAAAUAGUAGAAUGCAGUUAGCCCAUAGUAUUAUUUUUUUAAAAGAAAGAAAUGGAAUUUGCCAGUUCUUGGGUAAACGGAGGUUAACAACAUUAAUAAACAGUGCGUUUAAAAAUAAGUAAAUUGUAUGUUUUGAUACAUAUUUAAAGAGAGUGUCCGUUUGAUAUGCUGUGUUGAAAAAAUAUAGUAUCUUUCGACUCUGAACUCUCUUACUCACGAUGACCAAGGAGAAAAAAAUGACUUGUUAUGGGUAUUUUGAAAAAGUAAUCAUAAUUCCAAAGGAGGCAAUUGAAUGAGCAGCACUUAUAAUCAUUUAAACUCAAAAAGAGAACAAGAUAAAGUUACCAAAAAGUUAUCAAAGUGAAAUCAUAUAUUAGGGUUUCAUUUCCUUUGACAUGAUAACUAAUUAGAAACCAAAAUAUACUACUCCUAUUUUUAAGUUUCCACUCUUAUACUCACGUAUCAAUCCCUGAAAUAUAAGCCCCUAAUUAAUAUUAUUAGCAAAAUUCCUAUAAGAAUAAUCAUGUGCAGAUAGGAGCAGCAAUUUGCUGUCCAUAAAAAUUAAUAUUUGCAUUUGAACAAGUUGCAGUGAUUUCAUGGCCAUUGAAAGUUAAGUCCAAAUCCCUUAUCUCAAUCCCUUGGCAUCGGAAACUUUUGCUGCAAUUAAGCACUACUCCCACUUUUGAUGCUGAAGUUCCUCUUAUGUUGAUGAAUUUAACAUUUGAAAUCUGCACUUGUGAUUCACCACCCUGUGGAGAAAUAUACUUUAAUUAAUUACAAGGAUUAAAAAUGCAAUAAAACAUUAAAAUGUUUAUUUACUUUUUGAAACCUUGUCUUCAAAAAACGCAUAUAAGUUUUUACCAAUAGACAUACAAUUGUAUAAAGUAUACUGUCAAACCUUAGACGUUUGUCCGGAUAUUAUUUGUUUCUUCUAGCGAAGUGUUGUUAUGGAGCAUAAAUAAUUAGUACUACAACAUAACAUAACAUAACAUGAAAAAUAGUUUAUGCAUGUUGCAAUGUUUGAUCAGGCAAUUUAAAAGAGACAUCAAAGUAUUUUUGAAAAUUGUAGUGUAAAACAAGUUAUAGACAUUUGUGCGGCUAUAUAAACUUAAAAAAAAAAAAAAAAAAAAAAAAAUUAAAAAAAUUUGGGGGGGUAAAAAAAAUUAAAAAAAAAAAAAAAAAAAAAAAAAUGUGACAUAUAAGUAAUGUACCUGUUUACUACAAGUUGAAUGAGGACAAUAUUGUUGAUCAAUGAUGAUAGGAUUUUCAACAUGAUUCACAUCAAUAUCUUCAAAGGUGACAUUGAAAACUUUGCUAGGAGGUGAAGGUGCCCAACUCUUUAUCCUUAGUCCAUUUUGAGUCCUCACAAGUGUACAAUCCCUCACAACAACUCCAUUCACAUCAGCUUCAUUUUGGUACUUUCCUAAACUUCCAAUGCUAAUGCCAUGACCAGGGCCACAAUAGACCUCAGAAAUGUGAAUAUUCGAUGUACCAGGACCAAUCGAAAUGCAAUCAUCACCAGUAGAAAUUUUUGCUUUGUGAAUGAUGGUAUCGUUGGAGUUGCCUAUAUGAAUCCCAUCAGUGUUUGGGCUAUCGCCGGGUGCUGUUAUGGUCACGUCCUCGAAAUGAAUUCCUUGGCUACCAUCAAUUUGGUAAUGGAAGAACUUGCUGUUGAUUGAUGUUAUGCUUUGUAUCAAGACAUUGCUCAUGUCAUUGAAUUUUAUAGACUGUUCACAAUAUACAGGAAAUAAAAUAAAAUCUUGUUAGACUAUUAAAAUGUUCCAAACCAAACAUAAGUUAUGAUCUAUAUGGUGCUUGUGCUUCUUCUUCUUGUUGCCUCUUUUUUAUGGUUCUUUUAGCCGAGGGUCUACUUAUUGAUACUAACCUCUCUAUGAUAAGGUGUACGUACAAUCUAUCCUCCCUAGGCCACCUGAGGUAUUACAUUGGGUUUGUUGUUGUUGAUACAACUCCAAACUAAAGACAUUUUAAUUUUUUAAAUGGGAAAAUUACAAUCGAUGUUUUUGGGUCAUCUACUUUACAAAACAUGUACACAAUGUGUAAGUAGUGUAUACUUUAUAUAGUAAAUACAUAAAAUAUACACAACAGAUACAACCAAAGUAUAAGACAGUAUAUACUUUGACCAUAUUGAUAAACUAGAUGGCUCAAUAUAUUUACGUAAGUUUCUCAUUUUAAACUCAUGCCAAGGGGAAGGCUAUCUUUUAUUCUUAUGGAAAAUAUUACAGUUAUCUUCCUUUCCUAUUUUAUUUUCUUGUUCUGAUUUACUUUGUCUAUAGUAAGAAAAUAAAAAACUAAAAGGAAAGAAAAUAUUUAAUAUGGUGAAGUAAGAAAUAUUUUACCGAAGGAGGAUGCCUGCUGUUGGCUUUAACAUUAUAUAGGGACCAUGCAGAUGGACCUUGGCCAUCUAAAGAACCUUUUCCAUUAAUAGUCAGUCCAUUAAUAUGCUGAAAUAAUAUCCAGUAUUCAUAUCUGCUGUUACCAGUGGGAGCUCUCAAAACUCCAUUUACGUUGAAAAUAGUUGGGCCAUUGCAUGGGCCACUAAAUGUUACUGUAUUCAACAAGAAAGUCCCUGGUGGAAUGAAGAUUGUGCCUCCUACUUUGCUUUUACAUGCUUGGCUCCAUGCCUUCAAAAUUGCCUACAUGCACAAUAACAAACAAAAAGAUUAAGAAUAAUGCUAAUUAUAAUAAUAUAUAUGUAUAUAUUAAAGUGAAUUUGACCAGCUACCUGUGUAAAAAUUCUAAAGCAUCCUUAGUUAGCGGUACAACUAGAAAUUUUCAUAAAGAAAAUUUAAAAUAUAAAAAAUAAAUGCACGAGAAAGCCAAAGACACAUGACAUAUUCCCUUGGACAAGGAUAUAUGACUCCACCAUCGUACACAGCGUGGCUUAAGGGUGAGGCUAGUAAAACCUUUGCUUUAGCCCUCCACAAUCUUAAGGCCUCAAUAAAAUUUAAUUGUUAAUUUUAUAAUUUUAUUAUUAUUUUCGACAAUAUUGAAUAUAGUUAAGAAAAAAAAAAAAGCUAUCAUCAUUCAAUAGAAAUAUUUUGAAAUUUUGAAUUAAACUACUCAAAUCUUUAUAAUAAUAAAUAAUAUAUUUACAAUGACAUCCAAGGUAAUGUAUUGAAAAUGCAUGACAAAAGUAUUAUUAACUUGAAUCAUUUCUUACUGUUACAAAUAAUAAUAUUACUAUGUGAAAUAUAAUACUACACUAAAAAGAACAAUUAAGAAAAAGCAACAUUAACUUUUUAUAUAUUAUGUAAAUGUAUAUUUUUAAGCGUCAAAUUUGAAUUUGCUUUAGGUCAUUAAUUUUAUCGAGACAUCCUUGAACGUUUACACUAAUGGUAUAAUAAUACGUUAUUAUAAAUUACUUUGUCUUAAUAAUUCUAGAUUACUAAUCUCACUUAUUACGAACAAUUGUGAUUUUACCUGGCUACUAUCAGUCUUCCCAUCAGGCAAAGCACCAAAAUCUUGAAUAUUAACCACUGUACCUUUACCAUGAACCUGAGAAACCUUAAUAAUUAUCAAGAAAAUAACAAAGAAAGAGAGGAAAUGAAAGAAGAAAAAGGAAGAAGCCAUUGCUAGCGCUAUUGAUUUUGUAUUAUUCUCUUCCAAUACUUGUGGAAGAUGGAAAUUUUAAGUUAGCACUUGCAAAUGAUUGCUCGGGUAUUUAUUUAGUCAAACUUCUAUAGUCGAAAAUGGAAAUGAUCCAAAUCAAAUCUCGAUUUUAAUGUGAGGAUGCAUUAGAUUAUAUUGAGGUAUCUCACUUUCCUCUUUAUAAUAUGUAAAUUAAGUUAUAUAGAUCAACUACAAGAUUUUCACAUUAUACUUUAUUUAGUUUAAUAAGUAAUAGUAAGUUAAGUACCAUUUUAAGAAGUCACUAAUUAAUACUGUCUACUAUAUAACUUUACCUAUAAUUACCUCAAAGGUAAGUUUAAUAUGUGAAUAAUCAAUAUCAUCAACACGUAUAGGGGGCAAUUAGCAGUAGUAUUAUUUAAUCUUGUUUCCUAGUAUUUUAACGUAUGCAUAAUUAUAAUACAUGUAUUAGUUAGUAUUCUAUUAAGUAUUAUAUGGUGUAUAGCUUAGUUUUAAAUUCUUAUAUCAUAUCUUCUUAAAUCAUUUAGUUAACCACAAUGUUUUACGGUGUAUAGCUUAUUUUUAAAUUCUUAUAUUAUAUCAUCCUAAAUCAUUUAGUUAACCACAAUAAUAUUACUUGUAAAUAAGACAUUGAUAUUUUGCCCUAAAUAUAAUAUUUAUAAUAUUAUAUUUUACACAAUAAUAUUUAUAAUUGCACUAAAUUUAUGAAGAUUGUUUUACCUUUUUUCUUGUAUGAAAACCUUUCCUAUUACCAAAUAUCCUUCAACUAUUCAAAAUAGUACACAAAUACCCUCAUUUCAUCUUUAGGCUCAAAAAUACUCUUAGGGGUCGUUUGCUAGAGUGUUUAAGAUAAUACUGAAUAGGUUAUAUUAGUAAUGCUGGGAUUAGUAGUACAGGGAUUAGUAAUACUGAAAUUAUUUUUUAUACAGUGUUUGGUUUGAUGUAUUGAAAACAAUAUGUAUUGUUAUAUUUUAAAAAGAAUAUUGUAUGUUUACAAAAAUAUUCUUUGACAUAUUAUAACUUUGUCUGUUCUUUGCAAAACUUCUUUCUUUUAAAAAAAAAAUAAAAAUAAAAAAGUAAAAAUAUAACUAAUUAUUUACUUUGGAAUUUUAAGAUUCAAUCAUUCACUUAUAUAUAUUUUUUUUGUUAUCUAUUCUUUAUUUGUUCAUCAUUUUUUUGUUGUUUCCACUUUGUGAUGUUCUUACGUUGGAGGAAGAUACGUGUAACUUUUGAACGAGACAAUAGAAUUAUUAUUGAUAUAAAUUUGUGUUCCGUAGAGUGCAUGUUAAAGCUAAGUAGAAAAAAAAAAAAAUUAUUUAUGAUAUCCUAUUUACAGAAUUAAAGUUUGUAUGCAAUCAUGCAAUUUAUUUUCGGAUUGUGACCAAUAAUUAUUUUUUAAGUUAAUGGAAUAGUUUUUUUAUGACUAAAAUUAUUUGGAGGGAUAUUAUUAACUUGAUAAAUUGAAAAGAAAUAACUCACAUUGAAAAGAUUUAAAAAAAAAAUUAAAGAAAUUUGAGGGCAUUUUUGUCUUGACACAUAUUUAUCCAUGGAUUACUAAUCCCACCAAGUUGGGUGUAUAACUAAUCCAUGUAUUAGUUAUACAUAGCUUCAAAAUUGCUACCAAACAAUGUACUAAGUAAUCCCAUCAUUUGAUCCAUGGAUUAUAUCCUACCAAACGGGUCCUUAAUGUAAUAGAAAUGACUCAAAAUGCCCUUCUUCCUCUAUUGGUUCAAAAAUACCCCUCCAUCCACCUAUUUAGAUAAAAAAAUGCCCUUAACAUUAAAUUUAAAUCCAAAAAUGUCUCCUCCUUUAUAUUAUAUUAUUUUUUGGAUUCACGUAGGGGUAAUUUUUUUUGUAAUUAUGAUAUUAUAUAUUUUUUGGUGGAAUAGAUAUGCGUUAAUUAGUAUAUUAUUUUUUUGGUUUCAUGUAGUGGUGGGCUUUUUUUAGUUAUAAUUUAUUUUAUUAUUAUAUUAUUUUGGAGUUUUUUAAUUACAAUUUUUUAUUAUUAUAUUAUUUCUAAUUUUUUUAAUUAUAAUUUUUUAUUAUUAUAUAAUUUUUGUGGGUUUUUCAUCAAGGGUGGGUUUUUUUCUUUAAUUAUUAUUUUUUUAGUUUUAGGUUGGUGCCAAGUUAUCAAGUAAUUUAUAGUAUAUCAUGAUAGCUAUAUUUAUGGUAAUUUUUAUUUUUUCAAUAAAUAUAUUUUUUCUAUUUUAGGACUCUUAAUUUCCUUCCAUAUAUUUUAGGACUCUUAAUUUUUCUAUAUGUUUUGGGUUUCAUAUUUAUAUAUUUUAGGACUCUUAAUUCCAUUCUAUAUAUUUAUUUAUAAAAUAAAAAUUAAAAAAAAAAUAAAUGAUUUUAUCUAUUGUAAAGUCUUCUAAUGGAGAAUGUUUUUUUAAAAAAAGUUAUUAUUAUUUUUUUUGGUUUCACGUAGGGAUGUUUUUUUAAUUACAUUUUAAUAUACAUAUAAGUGUCACACCCCUGUUUUUCACCGCAUCCAACCCCGCUAGGGAGUUGGUUUUGGAGAAAACGGUUUUUCCGAUUAAAGCGACGUUUUGAAAAGGGAUUACUUUACUUACAGAGUCGCCACUUGGAAUUGAGUUUGGGUGUUCCAAGUCACCUUAUUGAAUCCCUAUUCAAAAGGAAAUGACUCUUCAAUUUUUAUUUUUUCNNNNNNNNNNNNNNNNNNNNNNNNNNNNNNNNNNNNNNNNNNNNNNNNNNNNNNNNNNNNNNNNNNNUUAACUAAUGAUUGGGCCUUAAGCAUAUUUAGAGAAGAAUGUAAAAGUAAAGAUAAUUAGAAACUCGUGAUGUCUCUGUCAUAAUGAACUAUGCAUUCAAUGAAUCAAGUCGUACCCAAAGAAAGUAAAGUGAGAACAAGCAUUUGAACCAUAUUUAAACAAUUCCAUAUAAAAUCAUGAUCAAUACUAGUAAAAUUAAAAAUUAAAUAGUGACAUAGUUAAUGGACACCUUUGCAGAUGUCUAUUUAAUAAUGACAAAUUGAAUUAGACAAGCUAAAAUGGAAAGGGGUUUUUAUGCCCAAAAACUUCAAAGGCUAAUAAAAUUCUAACUUAAAAUAGUAAGGUUAACACAUUGUAAGAAAGAAUCUUGGUANNNNNNNNNNNNNNNNNNNNNNNNNNNNNNNNNNNNNNNNNNNNNNNNNNNNNNNNNNNNNNNNNNNNNNNNNNNNNNNNNNNNNNNNNNNNNNNNNNNNNNNNNNNNNNNNNNNNNNNNNNNNNNNNNNNNNNNNNNNNNNNNNNNNNNNNNNNNNNNNNNNNNNNNNNNNNNNNNNNNNNNNNNNNNNNNNNNNNNNNNNNNNNNNNNNNNNNNNNNNNNNNNNNNNNNNNNNNNNNNNNNNNNNNNAAAUUUUAAAUAAACUCAUAGACAAACAUGAUUAAAAGAACUUUACGCCAAAAACAUAAUUUGAAUUAGACAGUAACUUAGAUUGAAGUGCAAGAAAGCGCAUAUUAUGAUACCAACUUUAAUUUAAAUUUAACUAUACAAAAAUAUAAAAAUACUCCCUAAUCAUAUUAUAGCAUCGAAGAUUCAUAACUCGUUAACACAUGUGAAAUUUGAGCAACUUAGUAAUGCUAGAAUCAAGUCUCGUAUAAUCUCAAUGUACGUUAUCUCUUGUGAAAAUAAUUAACAACAAAGCAACGGAGAGCGACAUAAAAUCAUGAAUCAAACCCCAAACUUUAACUUGUUGUCUACUCGUUUUGUCGCUAAACUAAAUAGUGGUUUCGAGUAAUUUUUACCCGAAAUAAUCAAUUAAUUAACAAUAUAAUCAAACUUUAUAUUAACAGAAAAUGAAACAUCGAGAUGUAAUGCGAAUCAUGUAAACUUUUAUUAUGAUCCCAAAUUUCCUACAAUACUCGUAGGUAAGAGGAUUUGAUUAUUUAAUUCAUUCAAAUAACUUAGAAAUUACAAACAAAAUAUAAGUAAAGAAUGGACCUUUACGUUGGAGACCUCGAUGACAAACAAAACAACCGAACGGAAAUCUCGAAUAGACCAAAACUCAACUCACAACUCUUUUUCCUCUCUGUUUUUCUAAUCUUUUUCUUUCUUCUAUUUUUUUUUUUUUUUUUUUUUUAUUUUUUUUUUUUUUUUUUUUUUGUUUUCCGUGUGUGUAUUUUUUUUUUAAGUGCAUGUGUGCAUGUGUGCAUGUGUUUAUAUAGUGUAUGUGUUUGUGUCGCGUGUGUGUGUAUUUGGUGUCGUGUGUUUGUGUGUUUGGAAAAUGGGGGGAGAGGUUUGUGAGAGUGGGGCUUGUGGGUGGUUUGGGUAGUUUAGGAUUCCCUUUUUUAUUUUUUUUAUUUUUUUAAUUAUUAUUAUUAUUAUUAUUUUAUUUUUUUUAAUUUUAAUUUUAAUUAAUAUUUUAAAUAAAAUAAAAAAUAAUAAAAUCUAUUUUAAAACUAACAAAAUACAAGACUAGCUAGUCUUAGGAAUAUGGUUAAGAAAUAUUAAUAUCACAACAUUCUUUAUUAAAAAUUGAAAGAAGAAACAAAUAUAAUUUAGAAAAAUUUUUAUUUAAAAAAAUAAAUAAAUAAACAAAUAAAAACUAAAAAAUGAAAGUAAAAACUUAUUUAAAAUGUGACUCUAUUUUUGUAGUUUUUUUUUUCCCAAAAUUUUAAAAUAAAUUUAGUAAAAAUAGAUAAAUUUAAAAUAUUUAAUUUAGACCCUAAAACGAAAUUGAACACUAAAAUGGCAAAAACACUUAGGUUUGGUGAAAAAUUAGGUGUUUACAAUAAGGAAAAAGAUUAAAUGAUUUUAUCUAUUGUAAAGUCUUCUAAGGGAGAAUGUUUUUUUUUAAAAUUUUUUUUUUUAUUUGGUUUCACGUAGGGGUGUUUUUUUUAAUUAUAUUUUAAUAUAUAUAAGGAAAAAGAUUAAAUGAUUUUAUCUAUUGUAAAGUCUUUUAAGGGAGAAUGUUUUUUUUUUUUAAAUAAAAGUUAUUAUUAUUAUUAUUUUGGUUUCACAUAGGGGUAUUUUUUUUAAUUACAUUUUAAUAUAUAUAUCAUUACUAUUUUUCUUUGUACUAUUACUAUUUUUAUGGUUUCAUGUUGGAGAAGGAUAGAAGUGUAAAAUAUUAUGCAUUCUUAUCUAAAUUAAAUAAAGACUUAAAUUACUUUCAAGUUUUUUUUUUAUAUAAAAAAUUCAAAACUUAAAAAGAACUAAAAGUCUUCAAAAUUUUACCUAAAAUACGUUUUCUAAUAUUUGAGCACACAUAGAUAAUCAUUAACUAUGAGAGUAUUUACCCUUUGCUAAUUAUCUUAUUUAAGGAAUUCUUUUCUAAUUUUGUACUUAAACAUUAAUUAAUUCUUUUUAUAUUUUUAUAUAUAUCUAAAAGAAUUAGUGAGAAGAGGACCAUUAAAAUUGUGAAUAAAUUUGAGUCUAAUUACAUGUGGACCAAUAAAAAUAAUGUCAUGUAUUUAAUUUAAAUAAAAUUAUAUUUCACAUCAGAAUUUGUUAAAAGGAGGAGACAUUUUUUGACUUAAAUUUAAUUUUAAGGAUAUUUUUGAUCCAAAUAGGUGGAUGGAGGGGUAUUUUUGAAUCAACAGAGGAAGAAGGACAUUUUUUAGUCAUUUCUACUAAGGGUUUAUUUGAGCUAAAUAGAUGGAUAGAAAUGUAUUUUUGAGCCUAGAGAUGAAAGGGAAUAUUUAUAUACCACUUUCAAUAGUCAAGGAUAUAUCAGAUCCUUUUCCGUUGAAAAUACGAUAAUUGAUUAAAUUAGUUUUCUUAAUAAAUGGACAAACGACUAAUUGCAAAACUUUAUCCAAGAUUGAAAGGUCAAUUUUUUUAAUUUAACCAUUUUGUUUGAAGAAUUAUUUAAUUAAUAAUGCUUCAAUUUAAUGAUUCACGGAUGAGCAUUUGUGGAAGCUGUAUAUAAAAUUGAAAUUCACAAGGUUUUCUUAAGAGAUGAUUAUAAUUAAUAAGAAUUAGCUUCGGAAUUUGCUGGCUAACUUAUCACUCAAAGUCCAUUGCUAACAAAUUUUUAAUAGUCUAUGCUCCCGCCGUUUGAGCUUCGGCUUUCUUGAAAUCAUGUUUGGACAUAUGAGUUUUGUUCUUUGAUAGUUUGUGAGUACAAGUCCCAAAAUUACUGGAUACUUAAAAAUAUUUGAAGAUCAUAUUUUCAAAAUGUGAUCAAAUAGACAUUUGAAGAUAAAUUUUCAUAUUCCGAGACCAAACGCUAACUAAAUAAAAUCAUACUAAAACAAAACAAACUUGAUACACAAUUCAUACAAUUACUUCCAUUAGUAAUUCACAGUGCAACUCAAGCCUCAAGGAAAAGGAAAAAAAAUCAUUUCACUGUUUUCAUUUCUGCACAAGUAGAAUCAAUCCCACAAAAUAAAAUUAAUCACAAAUAAUAAAAUCUCAAUCUUUUACACAUUGGAAGUAUUAUCUUGCUUGAAAUUUUGAGUUGGAGGAAAAGGAGCAGCAGCGGUAGCAGUAGGAAUAUCACAAUUAGUACCAGGGGGUGGGGUGGGGACACCAAAGACUUGGGGAUUAGUUUUGAGAUCUUGUCUACCUUUAGCUCUUCCAAAGAAAAAACAACCAAAUCCAAUAAGUAUUGUGAAGAGUAUAAAUGGAAGAGAAAUAACUACUACCAUACCCAUCCUUCUUUUUUUUUUUGCUUUUAAUGGAGUUUGGUGGUGAAAGAGUACAGAGGAAUCCAGUGCACAUACACAAUUUUUAUAGGCAAAUGGUGUGGAGGAAAUAAUUGGAUUGUAACGGUAGGCAUAAAACGUUUUAGUUUCCAACGGAUACUUUUUGUUUCAUUGUCCACUUUCAUUUGUUUUCUGAAAAGAAAAUGGAAUAUUUGUUGGUCUCUUUUUUAUGAGUUUUUUGGCAGUAAGUCUUGCUUGUUCAACUUUUGAGGCUGAGUUAGGAUUUGAUUUGGUUGGUCGUAAAAGAAAUAUAUUCAUUUUAUUUGGUGUUUUUGAAGUUAAAAAAGAGUUGGCAUUGUGUUUGAUCAUAAUAUUUUUAAAAAUAUUUUAAACUUUGAGCGUGUGUUUUAUAAAGUGAUAGAAAAAAUUUAGUCCAAAAAAAUAAAAUUUCAAAAUACGUUUUUGAUCUUCAUGGCCAAAUAAGUAUUUCGGAAUAAAGUAAAAAUGUAUUCAUAAAUAUUGUGAAUAACACUUAUGGCCAGGGGCGGAGACACCUUUGCUGUAGGGUAUUCAUUCCAACCCCCUUCAGUGAAAAAUAUACUAUUUAGAUAUGGUUAAAAUAAUUUUAUACGUAUAUAUAGUAGAAGUUGAACUCCCUUCGACUUGUUCAAUUUUUGAACUACCUUAGUAUUAAUCCUGGCUCUGCCACUGCUAAUGGUCAAGCUAAUGUAAUUUACCAUCAGAGGCAGAGCCAGGAUUUCAAGUAAGGGGAUCAAUAUUCAAAGAAAAUUAAGUCGAACAAGGUUCAAUACCUACUAUAACCACAUAAAAAACAAUUUAAUCAUGUAUAAAUAGUAUAUUUUUUCGUCGAAGGGGGUUCGGACGAACCCCCUAAAGAGGGCUAGCUCCGCCUCUGUUUACCAUGGUAACAUACAUGUUCAUCAAGUAUGAUUAAGUAAAAUGAACUCUAUAUUCAAACGCAUGAUAUGCAUAUAUUGGCUUGAUGUAAAUAUCGGGUGUGAAUAAGUUUUUUCCUUCAUUUCUUUAUUAUGAUUUAGUCUGAUUCAUUUUAAUUCAUUAUUAUUCUACUCGAAGGGGAGCCUUGGAGUAACUGGUAAAGUUGGCUGCCAUAUGACCAGGAGGUCAUGGGUUCAAGCCUUGAAAACAGCCUCUGGCAGAAAUGUAAGGUAAGAUUGCGUACGAUACACUCUUUUGGUGGGGCCCUUCCCCAGACACCGCGUAUAGCGGUAGCUUUAAUGCACCGGGCUGCUUUUUUUACCCAAAUGUCACGACAGUGUUGAAUUAUGAUAAAUCGAAUCAAACAUGAUUUAUAAUAGGCUCAUUGAAUUUGUUUUACUAGUCAGAUAGUGUAGCCGCGUAUAAAGAUAAACUAUAUUGUAUAAAAUCACAAUCUAAAAUUGUAACUUGUUACAAAAUAUUACAUUGCGUUUCAGAGUAGAUUCUUUACAAAAUUUCUGCAUAGGAAACAUUAAAUAAGAGAGGAUAAAGUUCCACAAUCUCCUCUUCUUAAUAUGUUUAAAGAGACACAAUGGUUAUAGGAGUAUCCUAAGGUUGUGACCUCCUUUAUUGAUUUCGUUGACCUACAUAGAUGAUCCGAUCCAAUUUUCUUCACAUUCCACAUUGGGGGGUUAACGGACAUUAUAUGGUCCUGAACAAUCCGAAACUAAUUUCGUUGAACUAGGUCCAACUAACAAUAUUAGGCAUAACACAAACAAUGUUUGACCCUGCAUCACUUGUACCUUCAUGAGUAUUGAACUGCACUAAACAUUAUUUGGAACAAUGUUUCAUUCGAACAGGCAAGCACACCGUACUAAAAGCAGUCCAUUGUAGCUGGUUAUUCAAAAUGAAAAUUCAGACUAGAAACAACUAAACUGAUGAUAAAAUGCAGAGAAAUUCCAACGAAACUGGUGGUCUAAUAUCAAUCAAUCUUCUGCAGGCUCGUCGACUUCAGGACUCUCUUCUUCAGCUUUCUCUUGCUCAGCUUCCUGUACUUCCUUCUCUGUCUUCCUUCCUUUCUUUGAUUUAUAGUACACGUUCAUGAAUGUUCCUACGGCUUUGUAUUUUCUUCUGCACUUCUCGUACAGCCCUCCAUCAAACAUCCUCCAGAAGUUCUUCUCUGUCAGCUCAGUCACCGCAUACUGAGCCUGAAAUCCAUGGUUUUCGAUCAACCAAAGCUCCAGCUGGCGGCAUUUCUCAGUACCAUCAAAGGGCUCACCCCUCAGGACAGCUCCAGGAACAUAGUAGACGCCAACAUCAGUGUACAUUUGAGCAUAUUUGGUGUCACCCUGCCUUUUGUGUUCCUCGAAUCCUGGUUCAGGAUAGAUCAUUGGUCUCACUGGCAGCUUGUAAAUUCUGUGCGGGCAGAGCCAGAUGGGAUAUACCUAAACCAAUUUAAUUCAGAUAUCAUCAGAACAUGAGAAACAUGGAAGCAUGUCACGUGGAAAGUUGGAGUUAAAAGAGUUGCCAAAAAGGAAACGAACAUUCUUUUUGAAACGUACUAAAAAAAGAAAGCAAGACAAACUAAUUGAAAUGGAAUGAGUAUAGGAGUUUUACCUCCAUUUCGCGGUGGACAUACUCUAGACAGUCGCCGACUUUGUAAAGAGGAACAAGAAGAUCCUGAAUGACAUGAUGGUCGUGGUAGUAGUUCCUAAUAGCCUCACUUUGAGUGGCUUUGAGCAGAGCAAUUUUGGGUGGCAUGAGCCAGCCAAGAAGGAACCUGAACCAGAAUUGAUCGCCAAAUGGAAGAAUUAGUUUCCCUUCCCAAUACAAGGAUCUUGUGUGCCUGUGGUAGUAGUCCCUAGUUGGAAUGUACUCCACAAACUCCCCUCUUUUCAGCGCGGUUUGAGCAUGCUGAUAAAACCAUGGCUUGAACCACAAACCGUAGUUGUUGAUUACGUUACCCCUUUGCUUGGCUUCUUUCUUCGAAGCAUAUUCACCGGUCAUCAUAACACCUUCCGUGGGACUAUAAAUCAUGCCUUCUACCAUCUCUGGAACUUUAGAAGGAUUGUCCUGGUCUCCAUCUCUAGGUGCAAAAGAAUCCGCGUAAGCCUGUGCAAGUUCUUUAAGAUUACCAGUUACAGGUUUGUAGGUAAGUUUUACGUAUUCCUUGACUGGUAUAAGCUUGAUCUCAGCUGAAACAAGAAGUCCCAAUGUCCCCUGAGACCACGGGAUAGCGUAGAAAAGAUCAGAAUACUCAUUGUCCUUUGUAGCUCUAACAACCCGUCCAUCUGCUAGAACAACCUCAAGCGACACAACAGUGUCAGAGAACAAUCCAAAGAUGUGAGAGCUUCCUUCAACUCCGAAGCCAUUGAUCAGACCACCAACAGUGAGAUCAUCGAGCUCAGCAAGAACUGCGAGGGAAAGAUUCAUUGGGACAGUAACCCUUGAUAUUUGGGCCAUAUUGACUAGAGGCUCAACUUUGGCAAUCAUUCGUUCCGUGUCAAUUUCAAGUAUAUUUCUAAACUUGGAAAGAUCAACUUCAAAAUGACGAGCACGUUUAUAGUCAACAUUUCUCAUUCCAACAACAACCCACGGAGGUCUUGCCGUGCAGACAAGACCAUCCUUUGAUGCAUCCCUCUGUCCAAGGCGCUUCACAACCUCUUUAACAUUUUCUUCGUGUUCCAUCUGUCGCUGCUUGAAAGAUUUCCUCUCAGAUUUUAUAUCCCCUAGAUAUAUGGAGAAGUAAUACAGGCACGAGAAAGGAAGGACAAAGAAGAUAACAAGGAUCCAUCUGAAUUGGAGAAGAAAGUCCACCAAUUGGAUCUUCCUCUUGGAAUGAACAGGGGCCGGGGAGGCCUUAGCGUCCGACAUCUUGGAAGCUUGAGAUUGUUCAACUGUAACAACGAUGAAAGUUGAAACCAAGUUAUGAACCACAGACAUGAAAAGUACUUCAUGCGUAUCCAGAGUAUGACUUUAAUGUCCAUAUCUAAAUAAAUUUAGAUGAGCUAUAAAUAGUCUAGAGCAAUCUUGUCAUCAAAUCACAUAUAGCAACAAUCUAUAUCGCGAAGAGUUGAAGAAGAUCAAUCCCUUCUUUACAUGAUGAGUAUAAGAACAUAGCAUUGCAUAUAAUCUUGAAACUAAGUUGAAAUUGAUGCACGAUAACCAUUGACUGUCCACAAUCUUGCUACUAAUUUAUCAUUGUAAAAUCAACUGAUGCAAAGGUAAAACUGACUAAAGAUCUAGCUGAAUGCCUGAAUGUUCACCUCAACAUACUAUUUUACCAUUAAAGUCGAUCUUUAUUUUCGCCGCCAAAAGUCAUUUAACUUCGUCUAGUUGGCCUCCAUGAUCAUUUUAGUCGGAAAUAUAAUUUUUGAUAUAUCUACUAAAUGGCAUAACUACAAAUAUUCACAAAAAUAAAAUAAUUUAAAAAAUUAUUACUAUUUCAAUUUAUUUGGACCCCAACACACUUAAACACUACCUAAUUCUCAAACCGGUUCAAGUUGACGCACCAUAAAUCAACAGCUUAAAUGAAGUCAUGAUAAUGCCUAACCUAGACCCUCAAAAAUAUUCAAUCUUAGCCCUGAAAGUUCCAUUCUAGAUUAAGAUUUUUAUCUAUAGAUAAUCUUUUGAAAAUUAUAUUUCAUUACUCUUAAUUGCUACCAUUAUUAAUUACAUUAUUAUUGGGUAAAUAUUGUUUUCUUGUUUGUUGUUUCUCUUAGGCGGAAUACCCAAGAGACCUUUCUUUUUGUUUCGGAUUGUCAUCCCAAUUCCUGAACUUCACGAGUUUUUAUCCAAAACCCUGAACAUGUUCAAAUUAUUUAUUUUAAACCCCUCUAAAUUUGUGUGAUGCUCACUUGCUUGACGUGAAUGACAAAAUCAGCAUCUACGUCAAAUUUUAUUCCAAAACAACAGUUUAAUUUCAUAUUAUUAAACAAAACUCUAAUUUUAUAAAUAAAAAAAACAAAAAGAUAAAGACAAAAAAAAAAAAAAUUAAAAUUGAAGGGAGAUCCCUCCUCCCUUCUUCAAAUACUGCCAUGGCCCUCCCCCAUAGGGACCCUCACCUCCAAUAUCAACUCCUUUAUUUUACAAUCUUUACCCUCACUACUCUUUCCAAGAAAGUCGUCCAUCCAUUAAAAAUUCAACUAUAAAAUAUUUAGGAAACUAAUUAAAUUAAUAGAAGGAAAUUUAAAGAGAACUCCAGAUAGGCCGAGGGGUGGGGAGGUUCUUUUCUUUAUUCAUUUUUCUGAUUUUAAUUUGUUUAAUGAAAUAAGAUUAUACUAAAAUUCAUGUAGUGUAAAUCAUGCAUUUUGUCUAUUUCUGUCAUAUAAGUUUGGUAAACAGUCACACGUAGCUGGACAUAUUUUGGUUUAAACGGAGAAAACUGAAAAAUUGAAUCAAAAUUUAAUUUUGAUUUGAUUUUUUGAUUUUUCGGAUUGGUUUGAGUUUCAAAUUUUAGAAAUUUAGUUAAACGGUUUGGUGUUUGAAUUUUCCAAAAAAAUUUUUUUGGAUAAAUCGAAAAACCGAAAUCAUAUAAAUAAUAUAUUAUAAUUUAUAUAUAUUUUUUAUUAUAUAUUAAAUAUACUAAAAAUAUAAUAUAAUCUGAUAUAAAAUAUAAAUAUAUAAAUUAGAAUCAUUUAGUAACCCUAAAUCUUAAUAUAUUGCUUUGCUGUCAAUGGCAGUCGACAGUCAUUUGCUCAGUUCUUCACUGUCAUCGGCAGUCGCUGCCAAGUGUGGCCACUGCCGUCACGCCAACAGCGAUGACUCAAAGAGGUCGAUAUUUAUGGUUAUUUCAUGCGUGUUGAAUUAAUUAUAUUUGAAAAUUAAAAUAGAUUGGAAAAAAAAAUUAUUUUUCUAGAAAAAUCACCAAUUUUAAAUGCUCAUUAUUUUAAUCGUUAAAACCGAAAUAAAAAUCCGAAAUAAUCGAACCGAAUUUGUAUAAUCAAACCAAACCGAAAUAAUUUUGGUUUGAUUAUGGUUGUCAUUUUCGUCAAUUCGAAAAUUGAAAAACCAAAUCGAUAUUCAACAAUCAAACCGAACAAACCGACUGUCCACCUCUGUUUAAACUACCUGCUUUGAAUUAACACGCUUAGAGUCUCGAUGAAACCUCGUAAAAUAUAGAAAUCAAAAUGCAAAUUCAGAAAAAGUAUAACGGUGUAGCAGAUUAUUUCGCCUUUUAGAUUAUUCUCAAUAUUUGAGGAUAAUCCAUUCAAGUUCUCUAAACGAUUAGGGAGGAACAUUAGUCAACCAAAACAGAGAAAGUAACUCAUUGCAAAAAUGACAAUUCAUGUCAACAUGCAAAACAAACAAAUUUAACAUUCUGCUCCUUAAUCACUUCAAAAUAGCAACUGAUUCAGCAACAACUUUAUUUGCUCUUAACAAAAAAUUAGUUUUAUAGAUUUGAUGUAUAAUAAUUUGAAAAAUUAAACCGAGAACUACGGCAUGCAUGAAACACAACAACAUAUUCACCAACAAACUAAUUUGUUCUACUCCAAAUAUGUCAUGCAUUGUAAAAAAACAAAGGCUUUUCAACACAUAAUUUACUGCUAAAUUCUCAACACUUUUUAUGAUUUCAAGAAUAAAUAGCUUUAGAAUAAUAAUUUAACUAAGAAUUAAUGAUAGAGAAGUGAAGAAAAAAUGGUACCUGGUAAAUGGAGUGCACAGGAUAUAUACUACUCCUAAAGGAAACAUGAUUUUGGAAAAGCCAAUUGUGUGCUUUAUAGAGAGCUUUCAACAUUAGGGGCAUUUAUGGAAAAAAAAGAAGUUUGGUUGGUGGGAUGUUAUAUCCCAUAAAUUAUUUGAUUUCACUUUCUACGAUAUAUUUUAUCUCAUAUUUAAUUUUUUACUAAAAUAUGAUUAAAUAAUAUUUACUAUUAAUCAUAAAAUAUAUCAUGAAAUUACAUCGUUAUUCUACCAACUAAACGACCCUUUACUUACUACAAUUAUUGGACUAAGAACAAUUAGUAUCACUAUAAUUUUAUGUUCUUCUUUUACUUUUUUGAGAAUCGCUCUGUUCGAUAAUCAUUGGAAUCCAACAAAAGUAAGAAAUUUAAAAAGAUCUCUGAAGUGUAAACUGUUUUACAAAUAUGUUACUUCCUCAGUUUAAGUUUUUAUUUUAAGUUCAUUUUUUACGUGAAAUAUACUCUCUCUCUCAUUUUAUACCUCAUAAUUUGAUUGGACAUGGAGUUUAAGAAAUAAGUAAAGGUUUGAUAUUUUUCAUCAAACUAAUAACCCCUAGUCGUAUGAUAUUCAGAAACCAGAAAUCCAGAAAAUUUUCUAAGGUUCAAAAAUUCAGGAUGUUUCAUACUUGCUUUUAAUUUUACACUUAUUAUAUAUUAGCUUAGUUGUAUACGUCUUGCGCAUGUAACUUACCUUAUUGAGUUCAAACGUUACACUAAAUAGGAUAUUUGUUUAAAUAACAAGGAUGACUACAAUAAUUAAAUUCAACAUCAUUUGAAGAAUUUAUUUAAUUAAACCUAACAUUUAUCAAAAAAGAAAAAAACUGUCAAAGCCUAUCGACAUUCAUCUACCAUUUGUAAUUGCAGUAAAAUAAUACGAUGAUAGAGAUAUUAAAAUAAUAUAAUUAAAUCUAACAUUUACAUAAAAAAUUUCUCAAAACCGUCUGACACCCAUCUACCACUUGUAAACUAUAACAAAAUAAUACGAUAAUAAAGAUAUCAAAAUAAUACAACUAAACUUAACUUUUACACAAAAAAAAAUCUCAAAACAGAGAUAUAAAAAUAAUACAAUUAAACCUAACUUUUACCUAAAAAAAUUCCUCAAAGCCGACCGACAUUCAUCUACCACCUGUAAAUCCAUCUACUAUCUGUAAACUAUAACAAAACAAUACAAUAGUGAUUACAAAGUUUCAAUUUUGAUGAAAAUAAUUUUUUUCUUAGCGAAAAUUUUGACCCUGAAAAAUGACUUGAAUAAAAAUAAAGAAGAUAUAUAUACACACAGUUGAUUUCUAUUAUGUUGACAAAAACAGUAAAGAAGUUGAGGGUUAAAAGAUUAGGCAUCCAUCAAUCUAGACAUGCAACCGAAUCAAAUUAGAUGAGCAUUAAUUAUAUUUUCCCAAUAAGUAAAUCGAAUUCUUCAGUUGUUUAACGCGCAUCUCAAUAUUUAUAGAAGUAUUAACUUAAUAGAGUCCUAUUUUAGAGUAUUUUUCUAUUCUAUUUUAGGAGUAUUUUUCUAAUUGAUCAAUACAAAGGAAAAUAUUAAUUGAUUCUCCUUCCUAUAUUUUAGGAGUCUCAUAUAUUUUAAGAUUCUAGUUAAUAUAAUAAAAAUAAUUAAAUAAUAAAUUGAAGAAAAUAGUGAAAAGAUAAUUUUAUUUAAAGGAAAGUGACAAAAAGUGUAAAUCACUUUUUUAAGGAUCUUCACACUUUUAAUAUAUUAUUAUUAUCAUUAUUAUAAAUUAUAGAUAUAUGAUUAAUUUUAUAAAGUUAAUUAAAUAAUAGUUGAAGAAAAUUGACGAAAGGACUCCAAAUUGGAAAAGAAAAAAAAUUAACGUUGGAAUCAUAUAAAAUUGAGGAACGGAAAAUAAGAAUUUUUACCUUAACACACCUAAUGCAAUAAAUCUUCCCACGUCUCUUACCAUAUUUAUAGAUUUUUUUUAAUACUCUUUCUUAAUUAUCAUAUAUUUUAUUACUCCUUUUUCACUUACAAAACAAAACCAACCAAAAUUUAUUCUUCAUAUAUUUUUUCUCUUACCAUAUAAUUUAGAACUCCUUAAUCUUUUCAGAUUAUAAUUAAUUUUAUAAAUUUAAUUAGAUAAUAAUUGAAGAAAAUUGGUGAAAAGACGAUUUUGUCAAAAAGAAAGAUUUUUAAUGAAGGGUAAAAAGUUCAAAUCAUAUUUCUAAGGGUCUUCACACUUUUAAUAUACUAGUCAAGUGUACGUGCUUUGCACGUAUGUCUCGCGUUAACUAAUAAUAAUUUUUUUAUAAAGAAAAAAAAUUAUUGUUUGUAUGUAAUAAUAUUAAGUACACAACUUUUUAAAAAAAUUAACGUAAAAUUUUUAAGAUAAAAACUGUACUUAAAGAAAAAUAUGAUAACUUACCAGCACAUCUGUGGGAUCUGAAAAGGGUAAGUAUACACAAUCCAUAACUAACCUUCAACAAAUGAAAAAUAUAUAAUACAUAAACAUGUUCUUUAACUUGACGUCAAAUCACAUCUAUGACCUCUAACUUUGGGUGUGAACAAGUAGAUACUUAAACUUGUGUAAAGUUAAACAAGUAAACAUACAUAUCCUAUGUGGCAUAAUACACAUAGAACACCAUGUAAGACAAGAAUUAGUCACGUAGGACAUCACAUAGGACAUGUGUCUACUUGUUCAACUUUAUAAUUUACUUGUUCAACUUUAUACAAGUGUCUACUUGUGCAUACCCAAAGUUGAAGGUAAUAGAUUUGAUCCGAGACCAAAUUAAAGGGCGUGUUUAUUUAUUGUGCCAAUGAAAAAACACCAAUUUUACUUCAUGUACAAUUCCACUUUUCCCACGCCAGCUUACUGAUUUCCAUUAUAUUAGUAUUAUAACAUUGUGUCAAUUUAUUAUGACUUGUAUUACAAUUGUCAUAUAUUUUGGAGUUUUCCUAUUUAUUUAUAAAGAUAUUGAUACCUUAAUUAGAGGGAAAAAAAGGUGAAAAGACAAUUUCAUCUAAACCAGAUACUUUUAAUGAAGGCAUUAGUGAUACUUUUUUUCCAUGAACAAAUAAACUAUUAAAAUAAUAAUUUUAUUUUUAAUGAGCUAAAGUUAUUAUUUUCCUACUAUCAUAUAUUUUAUGAUUCUUUAAUUACUAAUCAUAGAGAGAAUUAUAAAAUAAUAGUCUAACAAUUUUUUUUUUAUAGAAAAUAUACUAAAAGUACCUAGAUAUAAACCAAUAAGAAACUACAUAUUUUUGCAACACAAUAGAAAAAUCAAAGAAAAAGAAAAGGCAUAUAUUAUCAAUAGAAAAAUAUAGAAAGAUGAAGAAUAAUACACAUAAUUAGUCUUUAAUUUUUAUUUACAUCAUCAAGAAACAAAGAAAUCUUCAACGACGAUAAAAAAGAAAAAUUUAUUUUCCUAUUGUCAUAUAUAUUAGAAUUCUUUAAUUAUUAAUUAUAGAGAGCAUCAUAAAGUAAUAGCCUAACAAUACAAAAUCCAUAAAAAAAUAUAACUGAAAAUAUCUGAAUAUAAAUUUGUUAAGAAACUACAUAUUCCUACAACACAAACAAGAAAAAAGAAAAAAGAACAGACAUACAUUAUCAAUAGAAAAGUAGAGAAAGAUGAAGAAUAAUACAAAUAUUUAUUUUUUAUUUUUUCUUUAAAUCAUCAAGAAACAAAGAUAUUUUGAAUGGCGAUAACAAAGAGAAAUUAUAAAACAUAUUUUGUAAUGAACUAAAUCUACAUAUGACUGGUACAAAAAAAUAUAUAAUUAUAAUGUUGAGAGAAUAAUCUUCUCUACACGACAGCGUUGUUGUGAAAGAAACAGUAAUCAAUUUAUAGAAUUUCAAAUUCUUUUCUUCUAGGAAAAGGAUUCUUUAGAUAUGAGAAAAAGUUAUUUUUCUUUUGAAAAAAAGGAAGAAUCAACUAUGCUAUUAAAUAUUUAAGAUAUUAUUAUAUUAUUAACUAAACAAAUUAUUUAGGAUAAUAUUUAAUUUCUUUUUCUUUUCAGAUCAUAAUUGUAGUUAAAGUUCUAAAGUGACUUGUACUCUUUUCAUGCUUCACGUGACUAAUUUAGGAUGUGGGGAGGGGGAGGGGGGAAGGUUACCAUAUUUUUUAGUAGUUUAUGUAUAUUACAUUUUCUUUUAUCAUAUAUUUUAUAAAUCCUCAGUUUUAUAUAUUUCAUGAGUUACUAUUAUAAAUAUAAUUAAAUAAUAAAUUAAAAAUAUUAAAAGAUGAUUUUAUCUAUUGUGUGGAUUUUUAACGAAGAAUAAAAAAUUUAGAUCUCUUUUUUAAGGGUCUUUACAAUUUUAAUAUAUUAUAGAUGAAUCAUUAUAAAUACAAUAAAAUUCUCAAUUAGCAAUUGUAUAUCGAAAAUACAUAACAACAACAACAACAACAUACCCAGUGUAUUUCCGCCUAGUGGCGUCUGGGGAAGGUAGAGUGUACGUAGACCAUACCAGUACCUCAGGUGAAGUAGAGAGAUUGUUUCCGAUAGAUCCCCGGCUUAGAACCAAUAACAAUAUAACACACACAAAACAUAAAAAUGUAUAUCGAAAAUACAUGAUAAUUUAUUUUUCUAAAGAUGAAAAAACGUGCCAAAAUUUUAGAAAACUUGCCUAAAAUCACAAACAAAUUUGUCUCUUUAAUCAUAAGAUAUAUUAAGAUUUCACCCAAAAACUUCUCAAUUAACAAUUAUUUAUUAAGAAUACAUAAUAAUUUAUUUAUUGUAAACGUCACAAACAUUCUAAAGUUCAGAAAAACUUACCUCAAAUCACAAGCGAAUUUGUUUCUUUCAUAAAUCGAAACUAUCAAGAUUGUAAACAUCAAGAACAUAAUUAAAUUUUAUAAAACUUACCUCAAAUCACAAGCAAAAUUAUCUCUUCAAUCAUAAGAUAUGUUAAGAUUUCACAAAAGAACUUCUCAAUUAACAAUUAUUUAUUAAGAAUACAUAAUAAUUUAUUUAUUGUAAACAUCAAAAACAUUCUAAAGUUCAGAAUACUUACCUCAAAUCACAAACAAAUUUAUCUCUUUCAUUGAUUGAUACUAUCAAGAUUAUAAACAUCACAAACUUGAUUAAAUUUUAGAAAACUUACCUCAAAUCACAAGCAAAGUUGUCUCUCCUAAGAUAUGUCAAGAUUUCACAAAACUAACUUCUCAAUUAGCAACUGUAUAUCAAAUAUACAUGCAAUUUAUAUAUUGUAAACUUCAAGAACAUAUUAAAGUUUAGAAAAUAUACCUAAAAUCACAAGUAAAUUUAUCUCUUUAAUCAUAGAUAUUAUCAAGAUUUCAAUUGGUAGAAAAUUCUAUACCUAAACUUAUUUUUCCUCUACAUAAUUUUUUUUUUCGAUAUUAUCAGCUUUAAAUCCUCCUAACAAAUUCUACGAUAAGAUCACUAAAAGCUCAAACAAUAUAUGCUUAAUAUGCAGUAAAAUAUUAUAUCAUGUAGUCUUGCACGUAGUGAUAAAAAUAAAUGCAACAUGUAGGCUUCAUAACUUCUUUAUAUAACUCUUUAUAUAGAUAAUUGAAGCAUUAGUAUUCAUGUACUAAUCAAACAACUUAGCAUGAUAGAGUUCUAUGUAAAUUUAUACUUUUAUUAAAAAUAGUUUUUUCUACUUUUAUGAAGGAUGGGUAGGUUUUAAGUAUUUGUAAAACGUGGCUACAUAUUGUUGAUUGAUAAACUAAAUAUUUCCUUAAUUAAAUAGAUUAGGAGCAUAAUUCGGAAAGUGGUAUUAUUAAAAUAUAUUUUUUUGUUUAUUAUAUAUUUUAAGAUUCCUUAAUUAUUGAUUCUCCUCAUAUCUUAUCAUAUAUUUUUCUCUUACCAUAUAUUUUAGGAUAGUAAAAGAACAAUUUUAUCUAUUGCAAUGUGUUCAAAAAUUUCAAAUCACUUUUCUAAGAGUUUUUACACUUUUAAUGUAUUAUAAAUUAUUAUAAAUAUAGAUUAUCUUUUAUUAAAAUAAUAUAUUAUUAUUAUUUUUAAUUAAGUGGGACCAAUAAAGAUAAAGUGGAAUUAUAUGUUUAAAAAUUUAUCAAAUAAGAAAAAAUGAUAUUUUUUUAAACGAACAAAAAAAAAAAGAAAUGACGACACAUAAAAUGAAACGAAGGGUUAUAUUUUUCAUUUUUUUUCUUUAAUUUUUUAAUAAAUACUAAAGUAUUACCGUAUCAAUACCAAAAGACAUAUAAUAAUAAUAUACUCAAUAGAUUUUUAUAAAGUGAAAUCUAAAAAAAUAAUCAGGAUAUAAUUCAUACUCCAUAUCACUACACAGACGAAAUAGAGAAAUUGUUAGCCUACUAAAAAAAAGAAUGCCUAGUGAUCCUAGAGAAACCCAUACUACUUAUUGAAUCAAUAAGAUAACUAUUCUUCCUACCUCUAGCUGAUUCCAUGUAUACCCCCAAUCUCUCUUCUGUCUUUGAUUAGAAUAAGUUAGUUUGGAAUUAGUUAUUUUUUGAUAGAUCAUUUUAUAGGAUAAAGUUAUUCUCAUUAUGUAUAUGAAAUAAUUUAUUUAAUAAAUAAUUAUAAAAUUAAAUAAUAAUUCCAACCAAACGUAUAAUAAAAUAAUUUUGUAUUUCAUCUCAAAAUUAUUAUAUCCACUACCUCAUACCAAACAACUUUUAACAAUUCGAAUUUUCUUUCAAUACAACAGUAUUCUGUACAUCUUGUUUGAUGAAGAUCGUCGUGUUUCUUGACAUCCAUAGUGUCCAUAUUUUUCCAUUUUCGAUGGUUCUUUAGUUUUACUUUUUAAUACGACGUAUAUAUUUAAGGUCACAAAAUUAAAAAAAUAUAUUUUAAUUUAAGAUUAAAAAAUUUAAAAAAUAUAUAUAAAUUUUUAAAUGCUGUGUCAAAUUAAAUCAAAAGCAAACAAACAAAUUGAAAUAACCAAAACAUCUUUUUAGAUGAACUCAAAAGAAAGCGUCUAAUAAGACUAAAAGCAUUGCCCUCGAGGGGGUGGUUGAGUUAGUUUGAGGGGGAUUUUUCAUAGCGGAGGAGAGGUCGUGGGUUCGAUUCAUUCCUAAUGUCUUUUCAAUCGAGAUCGUAGCAUGGGGUUUACCUAGUGCGAUUUACAUCUUCUGUGUGGUUUGUGAGCUAUUGCACAGUAAGGGAUUUACCUAGUACGCAUACAGUGUUCGCCACAGAGUGAUCACCCAAAGAAAAAAGAUUGUGACAGAAGAUGUAGCGGCUGCGAAUUUUUCAUGAAAUUUCCAAAAAAAAAAAAAAAGACAAAGCAUUACUCCACUUCAAAAGUCAAACUCAUAAAGAAUCGCAUCUCAAAUGGUAACUAGUAAGAUUGAAAAAAUUUAAAAGUACUAUAUAAAUUCUAAUAAUAAUACUUUGCAAUACUAGUAUAAUUUUUUGAUUCUUGAAAAAAAAAAAAAAAAAAAGAAGAAAACAACUUUAUUGCAAGUUCUAUCACUGUGAAAUUCAGAUAGUUGUAUCACAUUUUUCAAGAAUCUGGAAGACGUCGUGGAGGACAAAGUAACAUACAGGGCGCUGGCAAAACCACGUGACGUUGGGUCCACUUUGCUCUCCCUUAUUUUCUUCAAACAAUAGCGGAUCGUUUGGUAGAAUACAUAACAAUAAUACAAAAGAUGAUGUAUUAGUAAUGCAUGUAUUAGAUAUGCUUAUAUUAGUUACGCUUAUAUUUUUCUUAUAUAAUAUUUGAUUUGAGAUAUUAAAAAUAAUAUAAAUUACAUAAUUUUUUUUAAAAAAAUACAGAUAAACCCUCCAUAUAUAUAUUGAAAAGGAUGUGAAAUUUUUUUGCGGGAUAACAGUAUCUUUAAUCAUGUUAAUGCAUGCAUUGAAUUCAUUACAUUACUAAUAUCAUGAAUUUUGAGGUAUUAAUAAUACACAACUCAAUACAAAAUAAAAUGUUUUGUUAUACAUAAAGUGAAAAAUAUAUCAAAUAAAAUACUCAUGGUAUACAUUAAACUAAUACAUAAAUUUACUUUUCAAUACAUACAUGAUUAGCAACGAAUGCAGUGCAGUGAAAUAUAACUUCUCCUUUCUUAAUUAAAAAUUUUGAAUAUAAAAUUAUUUUUUUUGAUAGUGAACGUUACCUAUAAAUUAAGUCCUAGCCGACAUAAUUUCAAUUAGUUGACUCCACGUCCCCGGUGAGUAUCAAAUAUCAUAUCAAAUGAGAAAUCAAAAAUAGAAAAAAGACUUCAUUACAUAACUCCCUCUGUUCUGUUUUUACGACGCCUUACUUGGCUUAGGUCAUGACAACCUCUUAAAUUUGUUUCUUACAAUUUCACUUAAAUCGUUGAACUGAUUUUAAAUCUAUCAGAACAUUUUUACUCUUUUAAAUGUAAAUUAUUUAAAUAUAUUUUUAACAAUAAAUUAUAAAUAUAACAUAUAUGCAUUAUACCCGUAGUGACAUCAUAAUUUAACAAAUUAAAUAAUGACACAUAUGGUAUGAAUACAAAAAUUAUUUUAAAAUAUAUCACAUAGCAACAAAAGAACAUUAAUUUAAAAUUAAAAAAAUUAACUUAACCCCUCCAUCCACCACCACCAAUUGUUGUCUUCUUCACUCCAUUGAAAUCGAGGCAAGGAAGAAGAAGGGAAAUAUUUUUUAAUUAAAAAUGCUUUUGUUAAAUGCCUCUCAUGCGCCUAUCAAACGUGAAUCGCAUAUAGUGUGCCAUGUAGGCAAAAGUGUUUAAAUGAUUUAAAUGCAGGAUAGUAAAGGUGUUUAAUAGGUACAAAAUUUAAUUAAGUUGUUCAAGUAAAAUUUUAAAAUAAGUUUAAGAGUCGAUUGAUGACUGAAGCAAAAAUACUUUCUUUGUUUCUAUUUAUUUGUACAGACCUCUCUAUAAUAUCAUCUUAUUAUAAUAAUAUUUUAUUAUAGUAGGCUGAUUUUUUCCAAAAUCAUUUUUUCAUGUUAUAUUUUAUUUUUCUAUUAUGACAUUCUACCUAUUAUAACAAUAACAUUUAUUAUAAUGGUACACUCUUUGUAAAAUUACCUCUUUAUAACAACAUACUCAAAUAUUAUGUAAGAAAUAUGUUAUUUACAAAAUAAAGUACAAAGCAUUUAUGAUAAUAAUUAUUGAUGUCAUGGACCCGGUAUAUUUCAAAUACGAAUAUCUAAUUUAAAGAAAAAAUUGUAUUUAGAUAGUGUAAAUUAGUUAUUUCAUAACUUCACGAGGAAAAGGAUAUUGAUGUUUGUCUUUUCUAUAUUCAUGCUCUAUCUAAUUUUGCAUACUUUUGUUUAUAAUAGUUAAAUAAGAUUCAAAUGUCAGACUAUAUAUACAACAAUACAUUCCUAUAGUAGCCAUGAAUUUUUUGGACAAACGCGAACACUGUAGAGAGGUUUAACUAUACUCUUUUAGAAAAUCAUUACUCCAUUCAUUCUUUUUUAUUUGCUUCAUUUAUGUUGGGCACACCUUAAUAAGCCUUUUACUUGUACAAAAUUAAAGGUAUUUUAUCAAUAUAUCCCUAAUUAAAUUUUACACCCUUUUUCAAAUCAAUAACAAUUAUAUUUAUUGUACAAUCACAGAAUAAAAAGAUUUUAUUUAAACUAUUCUUGAAAGAUUAAAGGAGCAAACAUUUCGAAAUACAAGCACAAUUCAAUCGGAGAAAAUAAAAAAAAUGGAGGAAGUAACUAGAGAAAAUUGAAGGAAAGGUGUCUUUUAAGUCUUGAAUGAAGGAUUGGCGACAUUGACCAACUUAAAGGGUCAAACAUAAUUAGAAAACUUGAUUAAGUUAAUUGUGGACUUGAUUAAUAUUUUCAAAACCUUUUAAUAUUUUCAAAAAUAAAAAUCAACCCACACCCCUCUUCAAUCCAAAUCAUCCGUCUCUUUUCUCUCUUGAGACAGCUUCUCCGAUAAAUAGUCGGAUGGGUUUCUUUUCGACUUUCAACCGUCAAUUGACGUGAAGACUUCUCCGGCGAAAAUAACUUCGAGUUCUUCAUCGUCCCAUUUUUUUUUCACAGAUAAAAAAUUAUGAAGAAACAGAGGAACUUGAGCCAACUACUGUUCUAUUAUUGGUUUAUAAUUUCAAUAUUUCUUGCUUAAAUUUGGAAUGUGGACUAAAUAAAAUCCUAAUUUCUGGCAUUUCUUCUUCUUAUUGUCGAACUAUUGAUUCAGAUUUAUCGGUGAUUUUUGAUUACCAUUGAUGUUCUUAAUGUGUGUGUGUGAUAUGUUGGUGUUGCUGGAUUGAUUUGUUGUUUGUCUUGGUAAAAAUAGUGCUGCAACAGAUGAAAUAUCUGAUGCAAUAGAUGAAUAAUCUAACAGAUCAUUUAUCUGUUGCGACAGACGACUCUUCUAUUUGGAAGAAAUCUAAACAAUAUUGAUCCAAUAGAUAACUCAUUUUGCAACAGAUGAGUGAUAUGUUUCAACAGAUCAGUGAUCUGUUUUAUUAUUUCCAAUGGAUUACUCAUCCAUUGCAACAGAUUGGUUAUAUAUUGCAACAGAUAACCUGCCUGGUGCAAUAGAUCAGUGAUCUAUUUUUACUGUUUCCUGUGAAUUACUUAUCCGUUGCAACAGGUUGGUUAUAUGUUGCAACAGAUAAACUACCUGGUGCAAUAAAUAAGUGAUCUAUUUUUACUGUUUCUAACGGAUUACUCACCCGUUACAACAAGUUGGUUAUUGUUGCAACAGAUAAACUACCUGGUGCAACAGAUUAGUUAUUUAUUUUUACUAUUUUCAAUGGAUUACUCAUCCGUUGUAACAGGUUAGUUAUAUGUUGCAACAAAUAACCUUCCUGGUGAAUAGAUGAGUGAUUUAUUUUUAUAAUUUCCAACGAAUUAAUUAUCCGUUGCAACAGGUUGGUUAUAUGUUGCAAUAGAUAAACUACCUGGUGCAACAGAUUAGUGAUCUAUUUUUAUGGUUUUUAAUGGUUUACUCAUCUAUUGCAAUAGUUGGUUAUAUGUUGCAUCAGAUAAACUACCCGGUGCAAUAGAUUAGUGAUCUAUUUUUAUUGUUUCCAAUGAUCUUCUCAUCCUAUAUGUUGCAAUAGAUAAUAUACUUAGUGCAACAGAUGUAUGGUCUGUUGGAACUAUUAUUUUACUAUUGUGCAUGUUAGUUUUACGGUUAUCCUUUUUUAACGAUGCAUUAAUCAAUUAUAAUUUUUUUUAUGUUCAUGUUAAUUUAAGAUAAUAUGGCUAAAAAAAAAGAAUUCGAAUCAAGUCCAAGUAAAGGAACAAAUGAAGCAGCUCGGCUACAUCCACCACUCUAUGAGCUUGCUUUACAAGCGCUAUCUCAAUCAGAAGCAGAAGAUAAUGAACACGAGGAGGAGGAAUAUUUCAAAAUAGAUAAUCCAAAUGCUAAUAGCCCUUUCGCUGAAGAGUUGGUCAAAACCUUCAGCAUUGAUCAUUAUCCUGUGAGAAUGCAGUGCGAUGGUUCCACAGAUUUAACGGGUGAUUUCGUGGUUAAGUAAUCCAUGGAAAAAUCUUUCGACGCCUUCAAAAAAAUACUUUGAGAACAAAAAUUGAAUUCUUAUUCCAGGGAAAACUGAUUUGGGCAAUAUCUUGAUUUGUCGGAGGACAACAAUGCUCGUUUUCAGAUGAAAAUGGUAUAUGAUCAUCUCAAGCUCAGGUUUAUGUAUGAUAACAAAGAUAAGAUGGAUGAGGUGUGGAUAAAUUACUGUGGUAUGCCUGUUUGUUUUGGUUGGAAGGAGUUUCCCAUAGUUACUGGACUAAAAUAUUUUUCUUCUUCUCCUUCUCAAGUUAUACCUACUCUAAUCCUAAAAAAACAUCCCGCACACCCAAAAAAUACAAAGGCAAGUCGAGUGAUCGUGAUGACCUGGUGUCCAUUGUUGUUCUAAGCUUCAAAAAUAAAAAUUUAAUAGAAGCGUUGAAAGGUAAAGGACUUUCAAAAAAGCACAAGCAAUCAUUAUGCUUGGUUUGGUUUGUACAUAAUAUUCUUUGGGCGAGAGACGUUAACAACAACAUAAGCCUCGGUUUAAUAAAUAUCUCCGAGGAUCUUGAGGCAUUUAACAACUAUCCUUGGGGUUAUGAAAGCUUCAAAAUGACUGUCAAAUAUUUGUUGACUCCGUUAAUGCUAAAGACAGUCAACUUAUAUAGCUUUCCAUGGGCCUUCAUGGUAAAUAUUUUUUUUUUUUAUCAUGAUAUGAUUUAUUUUUUUAUUCAAUAAUUCUUUUGAUUUAUUGUCUUUAUUUUAUAGGUUUGAGCAUUUGAAAUCAUUCCUUAUUUGAGACAACAAGUGAACUACCAGGAAGAAGUUUUCUGUCCAAGAAUCCUAAGAUAAUUGUCGGCCAAAACUGAUAAAAAUGCAAAAAAUUCUAUCUUUUCAAUCCCCCAAAGAAAGCAAAAAGUCUAAUUCUAAUCAAGUUUUUAUUUUAAUUAAUGAUUAUUUAAAAUAAUUUCAUCACCAUUCUAAUAUAUGUAAUGAUUUAUUUUAGAUUGUCCAUCCGUGGCUUGUUUCGACCAAUCGAGAGUUGAAUAUGCCAUUUUUUCUUACUUUACGGUCUGUGCAAACUUUAUCGGAUCCUAAGGUCGUUGAUGGAAUAAAAAUAAAAUUAUUUAAAGCAACAACCAUCACAAGAAAAAUAAUUUUGGAGGGUGGGCUUAUUGUUAUUGCUUAUAGUAGUGGUAGUGGUAGUGGUGCUGUUGUUGGAGCUAAUGAUGCUCCUCUUACAAUUUUUGAAACAACAAGCCAUUAUGAUUAUGAUCAUACUGGUUAUACAGAUUUUUCUCCAGAUUGUGCCACAUUUAGCGAAUGUUCUGCAUGCAAAUUUUAAGACUGCAAGGCAAAAUAUUAUGGAGUGAUUAAUACUAUUAAUGGACUAACUGCUUCUGUAAAGAAAAUUACAUCUAAUAGUGGUGUCAUUCCAUCAAAGAGGAUUUCAUAUCCAUACACUCCACUAGAGAUUAAGGUGGCUAAGAGGAGAAGGAAAGAUAUUUCCAAGGUAUCAUCAAGCAUAAAAAAAGCAAAAUUACAAUGCCUUUGUCUUUGUCUUACACCAUUCUUCAGUGUGCAAGGGCCACCGGAGAGCAGCAUGAGCUGAAGAAGGUGAAUGUAUAUCAUUUGUUCCAACAAACAAACAGGCACAUAUCUAUUUCAAAAGAUGAUACAUCUGCUGAAAAUUAUCAAACAGAUAUAUACAUCUAUUGCAACUGUUGUCUAAUCUGUUGCAUCAGAUGCAUUAUCUGUUGCAACAUAUGUCCGUCUGUUUGAGCACAUCACAUAAGUUUUCGUACUAUUUUAAUUUCAACCAACAGAUGAGUCUUAUAUUGCAACAGAUGGGUCAUCUAUUUGAAGUUAUCGUACUGCUCUAUUUUACCUAUUCGAAUUUAUCCCAACAGAUGAUCCAUCUAUUACAACAUAAGACUCAUCUGUUGUAAUAGAUAGAAAAUUUGUUGUAUAUCUGUAAUUAGCAUUGACAAUUUUGGCUUUUCAGGUGAAUGUCACAACAGAAGCUACUGCUGAAGAGCAUAAUAUCACAGUUGAUAAUCCUUCAACUGCUUUCAAAGAAAAAGAAAAAGUGGAGCCUGUCAGUUCGAGAGAAUGGAAGAAUUAUUCAUUUGAAGGGUUCAACAUCUCGGACGAAGCUAAAAAAAAAAACUAACAAAGUUGAUCAACGACUAUUCAGAAUGGAUUGCCAAUGGGCUGUUAAUGCAUCAUGCCGCCAGGUACAUAAAUCAACUUUAAAGAUAUUGAUUUAUACAAUUUUUGUUGUACGAACAUGACAUUAACAUAUAUAAAUCAUCAUGUAGAAAACAAAAUGAUGAACGCUACAAAGUGAAUGAAUCAAUUUUGGUUUUGAUAUGUUCGACUUUGUUGAUGCACAUCCCGGAAUGAAGAAUUGGUUCUAUUUGAUGUCACAGCCCCAAACUUGCUGGAAUGAUGAGGUUUAAAUGUCAUACAUAUUACUAUUAAUUAAUACUUUAUUUAAUUGUAUCUGCGUAUUAAUUUUUUCAUCACGUAAUUCAAAAUAUUUGAUAAUAUGUGAAGCACAUCUAUGUUAUUUUUACUACCUACGAAAGAAGGCCAAGUUGCAAACACCAAAAUAAAAUAGAUACACGACAAAUAAUUAUUUGUACGAAGUUUACAUCAAUAAUGCCUACGAUAGGUAUUGUCAACAACAGCUGGAAGUUUAUUGAAAUGAGGAAUGCUUAAUCAACAUCAUCAAAGGUUUUAGCAUUCCAGCUGGCUUACCUUGUCAUUUGGUCGACGAAGUGUACAUCCCAAUCAAUUAUGGUGAUGAAUUUCAUUGGGUGUUGGCUGUCGUCGUUCUAAAAGAGAGGCGCAUUCGAGUUUAUGAAUCGAUGUCGCGAAGGAGACAUUUUGGGCCAUUGUCUGAGAUACAAAAUUUGGUCAAAAUAUUGCCUACUUACCUUGAUAUGAGUGGUUUUUUGGAUAAAAAGGUUCGUAUUGAUUGAUCGAUGAUUGAAGCAUAUCGAGAUAAAAUGGAUAAUCUUUUUGAUGUACAAUAUGUUGAAAAAAUUGAUCAACAAACCAUUGGUAGCCUGUAAGUAUAAGUAUUAUGAUUUAGUUCCAUUUCAUAAAUUUCACAAUGCUUACAUAGAUUACAAGUACCAAAUGAUGGCCUUGAUGCCAGAUUACUCCGCAAAAGAUAUGCUGCUCUUUUAUGGAAAUAUGGAGAAGUGAAAGCUCAGAAGCCGUAUGCAAGUGACAUUAAAUAUCCAUGACGACCAAAGACAAAUUUCGUAGCACCGGAUGAAGAACAACUUGUCCAUAUUGAUUAGAUCUUUAUAGCUUGAGCCCGUCAAUGUAAUAACCUAUCCUCCUUGGUUUAAGUUGUUGAUUUAUUUGUAGAGUAGAUCAUUUAUACCCAUAAUACUUUUUUUACAUUUCAUUUAUUUGUUGAGUUAUUUCAUAUAAUUUUCGAAGGCUUCGAUUCAUUUUAUGUUGUCUAUGAAUAUAAAAUAAUCCUUAGUUUUGAACAUAUUAAUUGAAAUGAAAUACUAGAUUCAAAUAUCACAACAGAUAAUACAUCUGUUGCAACAGACGACAUAUCUUAUCAAACAGAUUACCUAUCUAGUUAGGUCAUCUGCUGAAAAUUAUGUAACAGGUCUUCCUACUUUUUUAAUUUAUUCCAACUGAUUACCUAUAGUUGCAACAGAUAGAUAUAUGUUGCAACAAAUUGUAUAUCUGUUGCGACAGACAAAUUGAGAAACAACUGAAUAAUGCAACAAAUGACCAACUUAUUCCAACAGAUAAUCAAUCUAUCACAAUAGGUAUUAUAUCUGUUAUAACAGAUAUACAAUCUGUUGCAUUAUAAAAAUUCAAAUUUCGCUAGACAUAAAAAUUAUUGCCACUACAUGUAAAGUGAAGUGGCUUGAAAUAAAAAAUUAUUAUCGUGUUCGUCUCUGUCUUUAUACAUAUUCUUCUUUACAUACGGCUCCAACCAUUUAGUUAGGUCAUCUGCUGAAAAUUAUGUAACAGGUCUUCCUACCUUUUUAAUUUAUUCCAACUGAUUACCUAUAGUUGCAACAGAUAGAUAUAUGUUGCAACAAAUUGUAUAUCUGUUGCGACAGACAAAUUGAGAAACAACUGAAUAAUGCAACAGAUGACCAACUUAUUCCAACAGAUAAUCAAUCUAUCACAAUAGGUAUUAUAUCUGUUAUAACAGAUAUACAAUUUGUUGCAUUAUAAAAAUUCAAAUUUUGCUAGACAUAAAAAUUAUUGCCACUACAUGUAAAGUGAAGUGGCUUGAAAUAAAAAAUUAUUAUCGUGUUCGUCUCUGUCUUUAUACAUAUUCUUCUUUACAUACGGCUCCAACCAUUUAGUUAGGUCAUUUGCUGAAAAUUAUGUAACAGGUCUUCCUACUUUUUUAAUUUAUUCCAACUGAUUACCUAUAGUUGCAACAAAUAGAUAUAUGUUGCAACAAAUUGUAUAGCUGUUGCAACAGACAAAUUGAGAAACAACUGAAUAAUGCAACAGAUGACCAACUUAUUCCAACAGAUAAUCAAUCUAUCACAAUAGGUAUUAUAUCUGUUAUAACAGAUAUACAACCUGUUGCAUUAGAAAAAUUCAAAUUUCGCUAGACAUAAAAAUUAUUGCCACUACAUGUAAAGUGAAGUGGCUUGAAAUAAAAAAUUAUUAUCAUGUUUAUUUUUGUCUUUGUAUAGAUUUUUUUUACACACGGGCUCCAACCAUUUAGUUAGUACCCUAUAAGCCCAGACCUCUUGCAUGUUUCCCACAACGGCAUCGCAUAUACCAGUUAUUUCUAGAUCGAUCAGCAAAUACUCGAUGUAUGCAAGUGAGUACGGCCCACACGCUGCAUCAUUUUUAUUUGUUUAGAGCUGGAUGUUCUUAUCUCGACUUUCAAAAUCCCAUGAUUUCUUCCUCAAGACUUCCGCCGGCAAAUGAUCCAUCAACUUACUCUGCGUCAACAACUUGGGGAAUAACUUUAAGAGUGGCUUCACCUGGGUUAAAAACGUAUCCUCAUUGAAGAUAGGUAAGUUGCAGUCAUAAACCUUAAUCUUUCCCUCGUAGAGUAGUAUCUCAACAGUGAGAUAUUUGACUUUCACGUUCAUGACUGCAAGGAUUCUCUUUGCCUUGGUCCAGCUCUUGCUGUGUGGAUAUGACCUCUUUCCUCUAAAAUAUUUAAUCACGUAUUCAUCCUUAUUAAAUCUCCGACCAUUGGGACCAGCCUGCCUACAGAGAUCAUCAUACCUACUCUUGAAAUUGUUGAAGAAGUUGAGGUCUAUUAUCCUAUCGGCAACAUCAUAAGCAUCCGGGUACGCUAAUUGCGUGCCCCUCAUGAGGCAGAGAAUUUCAUCAACAUACUGUGGUAUAAGAAGAUAAUUUUAAAAUAGGUUAGUAAUUGUAAAGAAGAAAAACACAGUGGAAAGAUUCUGUUCCAGACGGUUCUCUGAAUCAGUUCACAUAUUACCCAUCUAACGCAACUUGUGCAACAGAUGUGUAUUAUGUUGCAACAGAAUACCCAGCUGUUGUAACAGAUUACACAUCUGCUGCGUAGCUUUUUUUUCAUGAAGUUUAUUGGAAGGAUAGGUUAGCAAAAGUAAACUUACAUUGUCCACGUACCACACACGCAUAUUUGUCAUACUCCUGAAGUCUUGGGCAUCAAAUAAAUGCAUGGUGUAUUCUUCUAGAGGUUUUGUAUCAUCAGUCAUGAUUUUUUAUAGUUCCUUCUGCUCCUCGUCGCCAAGUGUCGCGUAUAUGUCCACCUUCUUCAGCGCCCCUGAACUUCAACAACUUUUGGAAUGGGAGGAGAUGCAAUUUUUUUUUUCACAAUGAAGAGUAUUUUUCUAAUGUUUCUUAUCUUCCUCCUAACCGCCACAACGGCCAUUGUAGGAGUGUAUGGCUCCCUCACCUUUUUGGAUGAAAUGACACCCCUUUUGGAUUCAACUCCUCGACAGCUUCAGCAUUAACCUUUAGUUUUUCAAGGAGUUUAUCUUUUUUGUCCUAGCACACUUUGCAUUUGCAAUAAGAAUAUGAGGGUGAAGAGGGGUGAGAGGGACCACUAUAAGGAUGAGAGAGACCGGUGUAGGGGUGAGAGGGACCUGUGCAAGGGGUGUUUUCAAAUGUAUUUAUAUUUUCCUGAGCACCAACAUGCUCAUAAUUAUGACUGGCAGCAUCAACAGUAUCAGGAUGGCUGCCACCAUCAUCAACAACUCCACCAGCAACACCCUCAGAAGAAGCACCCGGAUUUGUUACCGUAGGUUGGUCAUGAAGAGCUUCAACACUAGGCUGACCUUGCCUAACUGCUCUUCUUAUGGAUGUUGCUCCAGCCAAUUCCUUCUUUAUUGACUCCACCUUUAGGUCUAUUUUUGUAUCAACAAGACCUAGAAUAAUAUAAGAAGUCAUCCCCAACUCCUGCUCAUUAGGCACGAUCCAAGGAUGCACAACCUAUAAAAAAGAAAUGUGGCAUUUAAAUCAUAUAAUAAUAAUUUACAGUCAGUUGGGUUACAUGUUAACAUAAUCAACUUAAGCAACAACGAUCUAUCUGCCGCAACGGCUGAUCUGUAUCUCAUAAUAUAUUGAUAAUAUGUUACAUCAGAUUACCCAUCUGUUGCAUAAUUUGCAGUAGAUGGGUAAUGUGUUGAGUCGGGUUCAGAGAACCAGAGCAACAAAUAGUUAAUCUAUUGCAACAGAUUACCCAUCUGUUACACCAGUUAUAGUUGAUGGGUAAUUUGUUGCAACAGACGACCCAUCUGUCGCAACAGAUGGCACAUCUAUUUCAAUAACUUUCUUUGAGGCAAAAUUAUUUUAGUUAAAAGAAGACAUACUGCAUCAUCUAGAGGGUGAUAGAGAUCAGCCUUCUUAGUAAUUUUUUUGCAGCCCUUUGCAGCCAACCACCUAAGGAUCCUUGGAUGAGAAACCUCAUCCGGAUAAUCCUUGAACUGAUAUUGGAGGGGAGGAAUGAUUUCACAUGCCCAAGCCUAAGAAAUGUAAACAAGAAGCAACAAAAAAAAAUUCAUAAUAACUAUAUUCAAUAUAAAUUAAUGGAUGAGUAAAAAUAGUGAUUGAUUUUACCAUGAAAGCCCAAGGAAAGCCGUAUAAUGUGAUCGUCUUUAAGGAUAAAUUUGUAAGUAAAUAUUUGACAGUCAAGUAGUAGUUGUUAUAUCCCUAGGAAUAAUUGUUGAAUUUAUCAAAAUCAUCUGCCUGCGCCAACAAAUCAUAUUCUAUGACUUUCCUGACAUCUCUUGCCAAUAAAAUGGAAUGGACAAACCAAACGAAACACAAUUUCUCCCUGUAAUGCUGUGGUAUAUUUUUAUCCUUGAGAUCUGCCAUCAAAUCAUCCGUUUUGUAGCUACGUCCAACAAUGCCCAAAAACCUAUCUUUUUUCCCUUACAUUUUUUGGACCUUUUGUGGAGUGUUUCCUUGAUGAGAGAUUCUUCUGAACGAUCGCAUCUCAAGCUCGUCACUAUUGGAAACUCUUUCAAGCUAAAACAAAUUAACAUGACACAGUAGUUGGUCUAGAUUUCAUCAAUCUUUUUUUGCCCUCUUUCGAAUCUUUAUCAUCCCUCGCAUACUUGAUCCUGCGCUUGAGAAAACCAUAUACCAUGCUCAUUGGGAAACGGAGAGUGCGGUCAUCUGGCAGCUUAAUAAAGUAGGUAAAACAGCUCUUCUUAAAAAGUCCGUCUAUAUUUUCACUCUUCAUAAUACUCCUAAAUUCAUCAAAACCUUUCCCCAAUUGACAUUUAAGUACAAGAUCACCAGUUACUUCUUUAGGGCGGUCCAUCGACAUCGCAACUUGAUACCUGUCGAUACUAAUGGUUUUGAUAGAAUCAUACUGAGAUUUUGAUAUUAAUUUACGCCCCAUUGUGAGAAAGAUUUAUCACUUUCCUCAGCUUUAUUUUUCUCUGACUGAGAUUGUUCAGAAAGUUCCUCCGAAUCUAUCUGUACUCUAGGCUUUUUUUUUGGGUGGUCAGAAGUUGAUCCACUUUCAGUUUCUUUUCUUUUGGUAGACAUCUUUUAACUAAGAACAAUAGAAAAAUAAAAAAUACAGUGCAUUUGAUGUAUGCAUAAUUUUUUAUAAAAAGGUAGGACAAAUUUUUAAUAAAUUAUUCAUGCCACAUUACAAAAAAUACUUCAAUGGAUAACCCAUCAGUUGGAACAGAUGGGGAAUCUGUUUGAAGACCUAUUUAAUAGCUCCCAAUAGAUCUUUUACCUGUUGCCGCAGGUGGACAAAUUUCAAUAAAUUAUUCUACUCCACAUAUGGGGAAUCUAUUUGAAGACCUAUUUAAUAUAUCCCAACAGAUCUUCCACCUGUUGCAACAGAUAGACCACCAACACCACAACCAAUGCCGCCACGAAUGCCACCAAGACCACCACCAAUGCCAUCAAUACCAACACCAAGACCACCGACACCACCACCAAAAACAUAAAUACUGACACCACCACCAACAGCCAGCAACACCACCACAAACAUCAUCCAACAAUUCCACGACAGUCAACAAAAUACUGAGACAAAAAUUAGGAUUUUUUGGGUGCUUCCUACUUUUUUAGCAUCAAAACUCAAAAUUGUUAAUCCAUUAUCGAAGAUAAUACAACUAAAAGUUUUGAAGAUAAUACAACUAAAAGUCUUCUUUUUCAUCAUUAACUAAAAAGCCCUAAUUUUUAGAAUAAAGAACAAAUGUAGAACUCUUCUCGAACUAUGUUACCUUCGAAGAUAGAGAAAACAACGGAUACAAGUGAGAAUGAAGUCGACAAUAACAACUAUAUAGUUGUAAAUGGAAAGAAAAUCGAUCUAUUUUGAAGGGUUGAGCAAUAUAUUGAGUAGUUGUUAUCUGUAUUAUUGAGAGAGAGAGAGGCAAAGAUGAGCAAGAACUUCAGAUUUGAAAUGAGGAAAAGUUUUUCACGUAAAUGGAUGAUUUGUAUGGGUUGAUUUGUAAUUUUGAUCUUAUUUAAUUUUUAAAAUUUUAAUAGAUAUAGUUUUUAAAAUAUUAAGUUAAUGAGAACUCAUUUCAAUUCAGAGUGAUCGAUCGACAACUCAGGUGGGGAUGAACGCAAUACCAACACCAUGCAAUUGGAAAGACUCAAUUGAAGUUGUAGUUGACCCUAUGAACUCUUUCAUCCCUAGUUCCACCGAUAUCAAUUUAGGUACUAUCUUAACAUUAAGUUAAUAAGAACUCAUUUCAACUUUGAUUGAUCGAUCGAAGACUCGGGUCGGGAUGAACACAAUACCAACACCAUGUAAUUGCAAAGACUCGAUUGAAAUUGUAGUUGACCCUAUGAACUCAUUCAUCCCUAGUUCCACCUAAAUCAUUUUAGGCACUAUCUUAACAUUAAGUUAAUUAGAACUCAUUCAUCCCUAGUUCCACCUAAAUCAAUUUAGGUACUAUCUUAACAUUAUGUUAAUAAGAAUUCAUUUCAACUCAGAGUGAUCGAUCGACGACUCGGGUCGGGAUGAACGCAAUGCCAACACCAUACAAUUGCAAAGACUCGAUCAAAGUUAUAAUUGAUCCUAUGGACUCAUUCAUCCCUAGUUCCACCUAUAUCAAUUUAUGUACUAUCUUAACAUUAUGUUAAUGAGAAUUUAUUUUAACUCAGAUUGAUCGAUCGACGACUUGGGUUGAGAUAACGCAAUACCAACACCAUGAAAUUAUAAAUACUUGAUUGAAUUUGUAGUUGACCCUAUGAACUUAUUCAUCCCUAGUUCCGCCUAAAUCAAUUUAGGUACUAUCUUAACAUUAAGUUAAUGAGAACUCAUUCAUCCCUAGUUCCACCUAAAUCAAUUUAGGUACUAGCUUAACAUUAAUCUAAUGAGAAUCUUUUCAACUUAGAGUGAUCGAUCAAUGAAUCAGGUCGGGAUGAAUGCAAUACCAAUAACAUGCAAUUACAAAGACUCGAUUGAAGUUGUAGUUAACCCUGUGAACUCAUUCAUUCAUCCCUAGUUCCACCUAAAUCAAUUGCAAUGAAAUUUGUUGCAAUAAAUGACUGAGCUGUUGAAAAUUUUCAAACAGAUAUUCAUAUCUAUUGCAAUAGAUGACAUAUCUGAUUUAAUUAUCAAAUAGACAUUUGCAAUUAUUGUGACAGAUGACUGAGCUGUUGGAAAUUUUCAAAUAAAUAUUGAUAUUUGCUGUAACAGGUAACAUAUUUGAUUUAAUUAUCAAAUGGAUAUUUGCAUCUGUUGUUACAGAUGACUGAGCUGAUGAGAUAUUUAAACAGAUAUUGCUAUAUGUUGCAAUAAAUGACUUAUCUGUUUGAAAAUCUUUUUUUUUCUUUUAAUUUUAAAGCAAACUUCUGUCCGAGUAGAUAAAGUAGUAUUACUAAAGGCGGUAAAAAAUAUUUCUUGGAUAACUCAAAAAUGAGUUCAUUGAGUAGUCUUAUCUUGUCUUUUCAAUAUCACUAGUCUUUCUCGUGCCCCUCAAAUUAUUAAUGAAUAUUGAAACCCAUGUCUACAUAAACAAUACAUAUAGAAUUAUCUCAUCUCUCCUUCAGCUUCAGCCCUAAAUUUAUUUUAUUCAUCUCUCAUUUUUCUUUCUCUCCUCUUUAAGGUUAUCAAAACCUUUUUCUCUCUUUUCUCUUCUCUUCUUCAUAAAGAUCCUUUCAGAACUAAACCUAUCCAUGUCUUUCCUCGACUGAAAUAUUUGCUUUGAUCCCCUUUUGACAUUAAGGUAUGGUUCACUAUUGCUCUUUCAUUUUUGUCUUCUUCUUUGCAAGUUAUUUACAUCUGUUUUUUAUUUAAUUACCAUUUACCCAUAUCAUAUUUAUUUAAAAAAUUUAAAGGAACUUUUAAGUGUUGAAUAAACAAACCGAGAAUUUUUAUUACAAUAUACAAAAAAGUCAUCUAUUGGGAGAAGUUUAAAAGCCUUAUUGGCUAUAUUAUUUUUUUGUAUGUAUUUUAUUUAUUUUUUGUUGUUGUUGAUGCUGUUAUUGGUGUUGUUGAAACUUGUGGUGUGUUGUUGUUGAUGGUGUUGGAACAAAGGAUGUUACUUCUAGUUGUUGAUGGUGUUGGAACAAAUGUUACUGUUUUUUUGUUGUUGAUGUUUUUUAUUUGUUCUUUCUUUGUAGUUUAUGUUGUUGUUGCUAUUACAACAGACAGAGCAACUUUUGAAACAAAUCAAACCACCAGCAAGGAUGAUUUGAUGUAUUCCAUCAGACUCCACAUCUGUUGCAACAGACUCUACAUCUGUUGCAACAAACUUCACAUCUGUUGCAACAGACUCUACAUAUGAUGCAACAGACUCCAUAUCUGAUGCAACAGAUAGAUAAUGUUUUUUCUGUGACAUUAUUUUUUUCCUCUUUUUUAUAGAUAUAAGGAAUUAAAAGUUGAUCAACUUUUGCUCAACCAACACAAGAGGUUGCAGUAAAGAUGGGUUUAAAGGAAUAAGUUGCAUGCAGAUGGAAUCAUUUCAUACGUGGGUGGAAUGUGUUACUGAUAAUGUUAUCAUGGAAACACCUAUAGAGUUCACUAAUUUUUAUGAUUAGUCAUUGAUCAUUCAAAUAAGAUAUCUGUAAUUUUACAGUUAAGUUUGGUAGGUCCGAACUGAUAAGGCUAAGGGACCAUGAAUAUGGUUCUGAUACCUUGGUAAUAUUUAAUGUCGGUUGUUGCUCAUGUUUAUAUGUCAAGCAUUGUGAAGGGAUUUAGUUUUGGUGCAUUGUAAAGAGAUUCAAUAGCGAUUGGACUAACUUUUAGGGUGCAUUGGACCCUCAGAGGGCCUUCAAAGCCUCCCACUACUUCAACCAAGAAUGAAAUCAAUAUAGUUAUUACCCUAGCCCAAAUUUAUAUGGUUGGGUUGCUCCGGGUGAUGAUUAUACGCCAGAAGGUACGGUAGGAGAAUGCCUUCGAGGGAAAAUGGGUGGUUGAUGAAAGACUAUAUCAUCUGAGAGCUAAUUUAAGAGGGUACAUAGGGUAGAAGUAAAUUCUAGUGAAUCUGACCGCUGAAACUAUCAUAAAACAUGAGAAAUUUGUAUCAAGUGCAAAUAUAAAAUUGUAUCCGGUAAUGAAAAAUCCAUCUAUUCUUUCUCUAAGAGAAAAAUAGUGCAAAUGGUCAUUUUUCUAGGGAGUUGCGUUUAGGUAGCGUGGUUGGGAUUAUCACCUAGAUUCUAGAUAAUAGCAGAAGAUUAAGAAAGCAGCCUUACAGGUAUCGAGCGUUGAAAUAAUGUACAGUAAAUCUAAAAAACUUCUGCCAACAGCAACUGCAGUUAAAAUAAGAAAUCUAAGCGAAGACAACAUUUUUUGAAUUUUAAAUUAUAUCCCAUGCCUUCUUGUUUGUGGUUCCAAUUAGGUCCACUGCUGUUGACGUAAUUGGAACCACAAACAAGAUUGAAAGAUUGUUUGAGUGUCAUUACUUCCCUUGCAAUAUGGUUAUAAUUGAUUGUGUUUUCUAGCCUUUGCAUGCUUUCAACAUUUUUUGGAGAAUAUUAGAGGCUUGCUGUAGUAUGUAAAUUUUGAUAAUUUUAAAGCUUGCCUCCAGCUUGCUGAUUUGGUAUUUAAGCUUGUCAUUGCUAUCUUUAAAGUUGGUAUAGAGUUACUGAUCUUUUGUGAGCUCGAUCAGAAACACUAUCUUCGAAGUUGUGGCAUUGUAGAAGCCCUUCAAAACACUUUCUUUAGAAGCUUUAAAGGAUACAUGUAUGGUCGUUGUGUAUGUUUUUAGGUCAAAAUGUGUUGAUGCAUAGUCAAGAUAUGGUCCCAACCGUUGAAUAGAUCACUUUUAUCGAGCAUUUCUCAAUGCAGCUUGCUCAACCAACCUUUAAGGGAUUUGAUAAAUUAAUAAGAAAAGAGUUAUGUAACGUUUGAUCUAAACCGACUCUACCAAGCCUAUCAAACAUUACGUAACUCCAGGCUCAUUACCUUAUCAAAAAGUUUUGCCCGAGUUAGUGGACUAAUCAAACAAGCUCAAUCUCUCAUCCUUUCUGCUGAUCGUUCUUCUCUAAUACAGAUGACAAGAUAUCCGCCAUGCAAAAAUCUAUGUCAUCAGCAGAAAGCUAAAUAGUAAUGUACAAGGGCCACAGAAGAAAAAUUAUCAACUCCUCUGUCUUGCUCAAGUAUCCAAAAAAUAAAAAUUUCAACUCCUCUGUCUUGCACUGUUGAGCUAUGUAUAAGCUUGUUGUACAUUUCAAAUCCUCUGUACAUUACUCAAGAGUGCAAGACAGAGGAGUUGAAAUUUUUCUUUUUCGGAUACUUGAGCAAGACAGAGGAGUUGAUAUUUUUCUUCUGUGGCCCUUGUACAUUACUAAUAAUGUCUGCUGCUGACGGUGUAGACUUUUGCAUGGUAAUUAUCUUAUCUUCUAUAUUGGAGAAGAGCAAUCAGCAAAAAGGCUGAGAGAUUGAGCUUGUUUGAUUUGUCCACUAACUUGGAUAAAGUUUUUUGAUAGAGUAAUGAGCCUGGAGUUAUGUAACGUUUGAUAGGCUUAGUAGAGUUGAUUUAGAUCAAACGUUAUGUAACUCCUUGCUUAUUAAUUUAUCAAAUUCCUUGAAGGUUGGUUGAGCAAGAUGCAUUGAGCAACGCUCUAUAAAAGUGAGCUAUUCAAUGGUUGGGACCACAUCUUGAGUGUGCAUCAACAUAUUUUGACCUAAAAUAAAUACAACGAUCCUUCAAAUAUCCUUUAAGGCUUCUGAAAAAAGUUUUCUGAAGGCCUUCUUCAGUGAAAGGUUUUUGAAGGCCUUCUUCAAUGCCACAACUUUAAAGGAGAAAGUGUUCCUGAUCGAGCUCACAAAAGACCAGAAACUCUAUACCAACUUCAAAGACGGCAAUGACAAACUUGGAUACCAAAUCACAAGCUUGAGGCAAGCUUGAAAAUUAUCGGGAUUCACAUACUAUAGCAAACCUCUGAUCUUCUCCAAGAAAUGUUGAAAUCAUGCUAAGGCAAGAAAACACAACCAAUUAAUCCAUAUUGCUAAGAAAUUAAUGACAUUCAAUUUGUAUUUCAAUCUUGUUUGUGGUUCUGAUCAGGUCAAUAACAGUGGACCUAAUCAAAACCACAAACAAGAAGGCAUGGGAUGCAAUUUAAAAUUCACAAAUUGUUGCCUUUACUUAAAUUCCUUAUUUUAACUGCAGUUGCUGUUGGCGGAAGUUUUCUAGACUUACUGUACAUCAUUUCAACCCUUAAUGCUUGUAAGGCUGUUUUCUUGGUCUUCUGCUAUUUUCUAUCUAGGUUAUAAUCCCGACCACACUACCUAGAUGUAGCUCUCUAGCAAAGUGUCCAUCUAUAUUAUUUUUCUUUCAGAAAGACAACAGACAAAUUUAUAUUAUCGGAUACACUUUCAUAUUUGUACUUGAUUCAGAUUUCUCAUGUUUUAAGAUAAUUUCAUAGGCCAAAUUCACUAGAAGUUCCUUGCUACCCUAUGUCUCUUCUUUAAUUAGCUUUCAAAUGAUAUAGUCUUUCGUCAACUCUCCUUUCCCUCAUAGACAUUCUCCUUCAGCUCUUUUUGGCAUAUAAUCAUCUUCUCAAACAACCCUUCCAUAAAAGUUUGGGCCAGGGGAAUUUCUAUUUGUUUUUCGUUCUUGUUUGAUGCAAUGCGAGGCUUCGAAGACCUUCCUAGAGUCCAAUGCACACUUAAAGUUAAGUCCAAUCGCUAUUGAAUAUCUGCAAUGACACCAAAUAUGGAUUGCUUCUCAAAAGUUGACACGCAUAAACAUGAGCAACAACCGUCAGUAAUUUGUAACAGGGUACUGCACCAUCUUCAUAGGGCCUUCCGCCUCAUCAAUUUGAACCCAUCAAACUUAACGGUACAAUGCAGGAUCUUGUUUGAAUGAUCAGUGCUUAAUCGGUUAAAAACUAUAUUCACAAAAAUAUUAUACUUUGUGUGUGUUGUCCCGAUGACCUUAUCAGUAAUACUUAACUCCCACACAUGACAGUGAAUCCAUCCAUCUGCACGCACCUUAUUCUUUCUAGCCCAUCUAUAGCUUAAAUUGAAUAAAAAAAUGACUAAAAAGUUGCCACAGAUGCCACAUCUGUUUAAAAUGUCAGACAAUUGCAGACAUCUAUUAUGACAGACAAUCAAUCUGUUGCAACAUAAGACAUAUCUGCUGGAAAAAUCAAAUAAAUAUAUCCAUCUGUUGCAAUAGGUUGUCAAUAUGUUGUAAGUUAUCUAACAUAUGGAAUAUAUUUUGCAACAGAUUACCCAUCGGUUAGAUUUUUUUUAAAGCAACUUUCUUUUCUUUUCGAAAUACAAUAAAAGAUAAAAUAUUUUAUUUAGAUCUAUUUUUUUUAAUUUACAUAUUUGAAAAGUCACCGAUUUUAUUUAAGGGAUAUGAACAGUCGUGACUUUUUUACUAACCCCUUUUUAUUCAAUCAUUUAUAAAUAAGUCUCUCCUUACUCGUUCAUCCUACUACACUUACAAAUAUGGCUGAUCCAAAUUCGUACAAGAAGAUUCAUGUCGAGUCCUUGCGGGAACUUCGAACGCUAUUUGAUGAACUCCAUAGGGUUUUGACCGACUUUAGAGCACGGCUGAGAAGGGCCUUGCUGUUGUCGGAUGAAAAUUAUCCGGUUGACAAUAAUAAUAGUAAUAACAAUAAUAAUAAUAAUAAUAAUAAUAAUAAUAAUAAUAAUAGUAAUGAUAAUAAUAAUAGAGUAAUAAUAAUUAGGUUAUGUUUUUUCUUUUAGCGUAUGUAUUCUCCUCCUUUUGUGUAUCGGAUCUACCCAAGGGAUUCAAAAAUCUAUGUUUGGUGGUCGACUUUGAAUUUUUAAUUUUUAUUUAGUAUUUAAUUAUCAUUCUGUUUACUCUUUAUUCUCAACAUAUCGACGGUUGGUGAUAGGGAUUAAGCAUUUGUGACAACAAAGGUUAAUCUGAUGCGACAAAUCGAUCAUAUGUUGCAAUAGACGGUUAUUAAUAAAAAGGAUUAUUGUUGUUAUUAAGAGAGUGAAAAGACAUGACUUUUUGAUUAUUUAAUAUGAAAAAUAGUUCGUAAAUAAAUAAUAAGAAAAUUAAUGAUAAACACAAUUUAUAAUCAUAAAAGAACGAUUAUUUGAUUUUAAUAACUGUUCGUGACUUUUCACCAUUUUUGUUUUUAAAUUUAUUUUUUACAAUUAUUUAUUUAAAAAAAUUUACAAUAUUGGAUUAAUUAACUUAUAUGAUGAUUGUUAAGAAAAAGAUGAACAGUCAUGACUUUUUAUCUAAAAUACAUUUCAACAAACAAUGUUGUUGAUGCAUCAAAUUCCCCAUCUGUUGCGACUGAUGUAUCAACUGUUAGAGAAAAUCAAAAAAGCUAUUAAAAUAGAUUGUCAAUUUGUUGCAACAGAUGGUAUAUCUGUUGUAACUGAUGGUUUAUCUGAUGCAACAGAUAUAUAAUCUGUUGCCAGAACUCAAUAAAAAUGGUUAUUAUUAUUUUAUUAAAGAAACAAUUAUUUAAAAGGUAUUUUUUUAAUUUGUAUAACAAAAAAUUCAGCAAAUUUGGACUAAGAUAUGAUGAUAAUCUUUUAAAAAAAAAAAGAUAGAUUAUAUGUUGCAAUAGAUAGGUUAUCUGAUAUAACAAAAAUAGAAUUUGUUGUCACAACUCAAUAAAAAUAGUUUUUCGAAAGAACUAAUUAAUAAUAAUAAUCUGAAAAGUCAUGAUUAUCACAAUAUUUCUUAAUUUAAUUUAGUCAUAACUUUUCAUAAUAAUAAAAAAUAUAAUUAAUAAAUGGAGGUGAACAGUUAGCUUAUAUGUUGCAACAUAUAGAUUAUCUGAUGCAACAGGUUUUCAAUUUAUUGUAACAGAUGAUCUAUCUGUUGUCACAGAUGAGUUAUCUGAUGCAACAAAAAUAGAAUCUGGUGUCACAACUCAAUAAAAAUGAUUCUUGGAAAGAACUAAUUAAUAAUAAUAAUAUGAAAAGUCAUGACUUAUCACAAUAUUUCUUAAUUUAAUUAAGUCAUAACUUUUCACAGUAAUAAAAAAAUAUAAUUAAUAAAUGAAGAUGAAUAGUCGCGCCUUUUUGUCACUCAUUCAUAUUCAAUCCUCUAUAAAUAGGCCCUUCCUUACUCAAUCGUUCAUUCAAGUACACUAUAUUUAUUUAUUGCAUCUUGUCUUUCAUAUUACACCUUCCACCACUUUUUUUCCCUGACUCAGGUAUAUUUUUUUCUUGUCAAUUUGUAGUAUACGUUGUAUUACAUUCGGAUAUUCUUUUCUUUACUUUUGGUUUUACGUUUUUUGUCAAUUCAUAUGUGUUAUAGAUAUGGCCGAUUCCGGGUGGGAUGUUGCUUUUCUGCAAGACGCCAUGAAUGAAUUUAGGAUGCAGGUUCGCGACCUGCAAUGGAAAUUGGGAGUAGUUAGAGCAAGGAUGAUCCAUGAGAUCCGCAGGCUGAGGAGGAGCUUGCUGCUACCGGUUGAAGAUUGGUCGGCUGAUAAUAAUAAUAAUAAUAAUAAUAAUAAUAAUAAUAAUAAUAAUAAUAAUAAUAAUAAUAAUAAUAAUAAUAAUAAUAAUAAUAAUAAUAAUAAUAAUAAUAAUAAUAAUAAUAAUAAUAAUAAUAAUAAUAAUAAUAAUAAUAAUAAUAAUAAUAAUAAUAAUAAUAAUAAUAAUAAUAAUAAUUAGAUUUUUUUCCUUUUAGUCUAUGUAUAUGUAUUUUUAUUUAUUUUUGUUUAAUAAAAAAAUUAUGUUUGAUCAACUGUGACGUUUUAAUCUAUAUUUAAUUUUCAUUCUGUCUAUUAUCUUCUCAACAAACAUGUCGAUGAUUGGAUAAGGAAUAAUUUUGAAUCCAGUAGCAAUAGCAAGAGUUGAAUGUAAACAUAUUGGUUAUCUGUUGGGUUUGUAGCAGGGGAUGAUUUGUGUUGUUCAAAACAGAUUACUCAUAUGUGCAACAGAUAAGUAGUCUGAUGCAACAGAUAAUCAGUAUAUUUCAACAGAUAAUUAGUCUGUUGCAUGACUUUGACGUUUUAAUUCAUACUCCCUCCAUCUCAAAUUACCCGUCCCAAAUUGAGAUAAAAUAUUGAUUAAGAAAAAUAAUUAAUAACAUGCCUAGUUUACCAUAAUACCCCUAUUAAAUGAUGUUUACAUUUUAAUUUGAAGAAAAAAUAAUUAAUGCAAAGGGUAAAACAUGGAUUUUUUUUUAUCUCUUCUUGAUUAAUGAAAAAAGACAAGUAAAAUGAGAAAUCAAAUUAGAAAAUUUGGGACGGGGGGAGUAUUUAAUUUUCAUUCUGUCUAUUAUCUUCUCAACAAACAUGUCGACGAUUGCACGUAAUGAAUAAUUUUGAAUCCAGUAGCAAUAGAAAGAGUUGAAACAUAUUGAUUAUCUGUUGGGUGUGUGGCAGGGGCUGAUUUGUGUCGUUCCAAACAGAUUAAUUAUUUGUUGCAACAGAUAAUCAGUCUGAUGCAAUAGAUAAUCAGUCUGAUGCAACAGAUAACUAGUCUGUUGCAACAGAUAAAUCUUCUGUUGCAACAGAUUACUCAUCUGAUGCACCAGAUGAGUGAUUUGUUUAAAUUGUGGGCACUUAUGUUGGAUUCAUGAUCGGGUUCUAUCCAUCAUUGGAAAAAAAUAGUAACUGUGUACCCAGAUGACAAAUUCAAAUAAAAAUCAUAAUUUUACUUACCAAAGUCACCUAUGAAGUAAUGUCAAAGUGGAAAGUGAUGUAGGAAAUAAAAUUUGACCUAAGAAAUUGACCAGAUAGCAGCAGUAGCGGUAACAACAACAACAACAAUGGUCGACAAGAAGAAGAUGAAGAUGAU